rnacentral:lncRNA from 1 species
CGGUGUAGGGGCUUCAUUGUGCUCAAGCUCAACCAAAGCGACUUUGUACAACGCCCUUUGAUAGAUAUUUGUUCUUGAGCUUCUUCGUUUUUGCACCAAAAGACAAGCAGGAUGUCUUGCAGCUGCGGAUCAAGCUGCAACUGCGGCUCAAGCUGCAAGUGCGGGUAAGCUAGCUAGUCAUCACUCUCUUUACCUGGCUAAUCUCUUGUUUACUUAGUUUCUUUUCCUUUGAUUGAAUGAAUUCAAAUCAAAAAGUAUAUAGUUCGUUUGCUGUUCGUUUGUAGCUACUAUAUGUCUCUUCACAACAAACAUGGAAAACAUACAUCUGAACCUGUCCGGCUGAAGAAUAAUUAUUGAACUUCUCUACAACUAGUAUUAUAAGUUUGUUUGUUAAUUUUGGGUCCGUCCGUUGACUACCUGCAGCAAGAAGUACCCCGACCUGGAGGAGAAGAGCACCGCGGCGCAGGCCACCGUCGUCCUGGGUGUCGCCCCGGAGAAGACAGCUGCUGCCGAGUUCGAGGCCGCGGCGGAGUCCGGCGCCGAGACCUCCCACGGCUGCAGCUGCGGUGACAGCUGCAAGUGCAACCCCUGCAACUGCUGAUCGACCGACGACCACACAUGGGGAACGAAGACCGACGAUAUGCAUGCUGCUGCUUAUUUGAUGGUGAUAUCGAUCUUGUGCCGGCGACGUACGGUACUACUAGCUACUACACUACAUGUAGUGCUCUGCAAUUGUGUUAUUGUGUGUGACGUAUGUAACUGAUGGUUGAACAAUAAGGACGAGCUAGCUAUCUGCUAUGUAUUUCGAUCUGGCUCGCCAGCAUGCAUAUAUAUGCGAUCUAUAUAUCUGCCCUUGUGUGCCUGAUCGAGAGAGAGAGUAUACCUCUUUUGCUUAUUGGCCUUGGCGUCAGUCUUGUGCUCUUGCAUUUAAUUAUGUGCAUGUGUGUGUACUGUGUAUCCAUCUUGUGCUCAUACAUCGAUCUCUAUGUGUCUCUGUACGUAAUGACGAUAUGAUUUCGUCCAGGGUGAUUUAUAUAUAAAACUGGUAUGGUUUAUUUGCCUGAGUAUCUUCACCGUCAUCACAAGGAUCAAAAUAACAGAUUCGUUAUGUGACUGGAGAACAAGAAUAUUUCGCAGAAGCCACCAAAAUUCACUUCUUUUUCUUCAAAAUCUUUAGCGUGUGCGGUCUGGACUUGGUAGGAAAAACGUGUACUUCAUACCAUGCAUCCUAUAUACGAAUAUAAAUCCAGUAUAUAUCUUGGAGAUAGAGAUGUUAGGUAUGGCCAAUUCCAUUCACACACAAUAUUCUCUCGAUCGGUUGUUAGGUAUGGAGUAAAAGGUGCUAUGUUUAGUUACACUAUGGAAGUUGAUGUUUGAGAGCAUAGAUUAGAUAUAUAUAAGACGGAAGUAACUCUCACCUAUCGAGACUCGCAGAAAUUCUAUUUAUCUUCCGGCAAAUUUUUAUUUCUGCUUUCUUCCACUUUUUGUGCGGUGUUGAUGGUUUCAAGAUUCGUGCUGUCACACAACAGCUGGGGUAACCAGCUAAACAGUGAAGCACAGAAGCAAAGCGUCGUCUGGGCGCAGCCAGAACCACUCAGCACAACGCAACUACUCUCCAAAGAAAAGCUCAAAACGAACACCAAAAGUACCAUAAACACCACGUGCAGCAAGCUAAACAACAAAAGCUACACUAGACUAAAGCAGAACACGUCUCCAGAACAGCCAAAUCUUCAUCUUCUGCACCUUAUCAUCCAAAAAUCUAACGAUAUCUUGAUCCUUCAAAAGUAUGCGCCAUUCUACAUGAGAAUGCAAAUUUUGUGAAAAACUUCAUUAGUGAUUUCAGAAACUUCUUUUCAGUCCCCAUCUUAUCCCCAACAUUCCAAAGACUCCAUAAGAUCACAAAAAAACAUAAACGGUUUGAUAUGAUGGUCUCUAACCCCUAAUUUGAUCCAAUGACAAAAAAAAACAUCAUGCAUAGAAACUGGACACCAAUUGCACCCCAGAGCUUCUUUAAAGCAAAACCACACCAUUCUAGAUAUAUGGCAAUUGAAGAAUAUAUGGUCAAAAGUCUCAUCCACCCUGCAUAAUAUACACCUUUUAUUUCCUUGUCAUUCUUUUUUCUUCAGAGUGACCCCUGUCUGAAGCCUAUCCUAUAUAGCCAUCCAGGCAAAAACUUUGCUCUUAUUUGGUAACCGACUACCCCAUAACUUUACCUUUCUUUUAUUGAUAAAUCCUCUAAAAGUUAGUCUUCUAUGCAUAGAACGAGUUGUGUACCUACCAGACUUGUUGUCAAGAAUCCACUCAAAAUGAUCACUCAAAAUGGACAUCCACUGUGCCUCCGCGCUUGCUCGCUCCCUCCAUUCCCCUCCCAUGCCUGCUCCUGGAACCCCACACCCUCUCCCAUCGACCCCACACCCACGGCGAGCUCCUCCCUCCCUCUCCUCUAGUAGCGGCAGUGGUGGGUUCCAGCAAGGUAUAGGCCUCCUCCUCUUUCUCCUCCUCCUAGAUUUAUGAUCAACGGCGGUAGUGGCUAGGGUUCUAGCGAGCUCUCCCCCUCUUUUCUUCUCCAACUCUAGCAGGUUUAGAAGGGCUCAGCCGGGAGAGGUAGGUAGGCUAGGUGGUGGGAAUGGUGGUUAGGCGGCUUAGGGGAGCUGACAAUGGUAGGUACGGUCGGGCCAGGUCACAGUGAGAGAGGCUCGUCGGAGUUGGAGAUGAUAAUGGCCGAGCUCGCCGGAGUUGGAGGAGAUGGCUGAUUGGGAGGGGGGGUAGGGCAAAGGAAGAAGGUCGCGCGGGCACGGUAGUCUCCACAAAGCUCCGGUGAGAACCUACCGCACCAUGGUGGUGUGCGGUGGGGCAGUGGCCCAUGAUGGAGGGCUUGGGAGGGGGACACCGGGCACAUGAAAGAACGACGAUGUGGAGGACGCUGGAGAUGGGGAGGGCGGCGUCCGGAAACAUAUGCAUGGAUCAGGAAUGCUCGUGCAUGAUGAAUAAUAGGUCCAGUGAUGACGCCUGAUAAAAAAAACGAACAAUUUUGCUCCAUACCGACUCAAACAGGAGCGGGCUGUAACUCAGAAGAUGCUGUAUAAAAAGAAACUGGGGCAAUUUCACCGAAUCCCAUAUUUGCUACUGUCAAAGACACGUGGGGUGGCACAUAUGUCAGUGAGACUUGGAUGGCAAAUAAAUCUAGGAUUAAAAGAAUUCAGUGAUGAAUAUCUAAUUACCCCUUUCCUACUGUCGUCAGUGCCACUAACCAAGACACGAAGUCAACUAGCCUAAAAACUGCGAUGCUUAAUCCAUGUUACAACACUAUGUAUUAUGUAUAUGACCAUAUAGUAAACUGACAAGUAAAGCUAAGCUGCAUCUCCCAUGUACUCUGCUGUUACAGCGAAACUAUGAUAGGAAGCUAUGGCAUCAUCGCAGCUCACUCCCUGACAAGUAAAUUAUUAUUAAGCUGCAUCGCCCAUGUAUGUCAUCAACAUCCAAUGAUUGCAACUCCCUUCCACCCAAGAAACUAAAAAUAGCAGCAAGAACCAGAGCAUCAAUGACACUUUGCUUUGCCACAUUUCAUAUCUCUGAGAAAAGAAACCAUGUUCUCUGCACUAUACCUUAACUUCAGACCUUUGACACUGCAAUGGCAAAACACAUGUCAGAGAGUUAAAAGAUCAGCUCAACAUGGUUAGUAUUGCAUAACAAGAUCAACAGGGAACACAGCAAAUGUUCAAAGUAAAUUGGUUCAUGUAAAAAUAAAUAAUUUCAGAACUCAGGCAAAAACAUCUUGUUCAGGGGAAAUGUAGCACAAGAAUAAGACAACAAGUACCUGCUAAUUCUGUACAAACUAGAGAAGAAGAGGUUGCUUUCGACUAGAACUGAACUUCACAUGUUGCCUUAUUGUGCCCUGUUUGUUUGCACCUGCUACAGAGUCGUACGAGAGUACUUAUCUUGUUGGAGUUAGACCGCUUCCUUCUUGGUUUAUCUGAUGAGCGCUGCUUGGGAGGCAGUGGGAGUAGAUUCGCACCAGCACUAAAAUCAACACUAUCCAUGUCAGGUAUUGGGAAGAUUAUUCCUGAGUAUGUCAGAUGGUAGCUUUCUAUUCUAAAGAACUUUGGGCAGUAGUCAUAUAAAUUGCGACCAAGCCUGUUGAACACAGCAAUGGCAUGCAUGCAGGGGAGGCCAGAGAGCUGCCACCGCCGGCAUGUGCAUUCCCAAUUCCCAAUAUUAACUACAAAAAUUGCAUUGCCCCUCACUUCAAACACAGUCUCAGAAGAACACAGAACAGUCAUUUUGCCAGCCUUCAGCAUCUCAUCCUGCACUUUGUAUUCCAUAGUUGGUGUUAAAGGCCCUUCCCACGCCUUGCAAGCUUCAAGCCUUGAUUCUAUUAUUUCCUUAAUCUUCAUUCUCAGUGAGUCUACCAUCAGCACUAUGGAACUCUCCUUCUUGGUUGGUAUCCAGUUAUCAAAAGCAUCAGCAAUGUUCAAGGAGAAAUUAUCAUACCGGCAGCCUCGGAAAAUGGCAUCUGACCAAUGCUCUGGCUUGCUCGCUAUUAUCCAGUCAGCAGCUUCACUGGAUAUAUUCCUUAUGCUCUCGAUGGAUGCAUUAAAAUCCUCGAUGUUGCACGCUUGGGCUGCACGAGUGAAAUCCUCAACCAUCCCCUCCCUUAUUUGUAGUGACCAUGGUCCCUUCCUCAGCUCUCCUUUAAAUUCCUCAAUGAUAUGAUGCAAACAGAAAGCAUGUUUACCAUCCUCAAACACGUGAGAAACAGCAGCAUCCAGACCCAUUUGUCCAUUGGACAAGAAUGUCAUGCCAUUGCAAGGGUAGUUGUGAGUUUGGAGGGCUAUUUUCAGAUGCAUUAAGAACCAACCCCAGCUAUCAUAAUUUUCAUCUUCAACCACAUUAAAUGCUAACGGAAAGACACCAUCGUCUGCAUCAAUGGCAGCAGCCACAAGCAACUUGUAAUCAUUCGUUGCUUUCAGUGGGACUUUGUCCAGAAAUAAGAGGGGCCUGCACCCAUUUACAAAGCCAUGCAAACAAGCAUGGAAUGCAACAAAAAAGCGGCGGUAUUUCAUAUCCACCACUGGAGACAACACACUUAUACUUCCUGGGUUGGUCUCCUCAAGCCUCUGACAAUACCAGGGUAACUGAUCGCGAGUCUCCCUGAUAGCAUGAUAAAUCUCUUUCUCUGCUACUUCUUUGCCUCGCCAAACCUGUGAAUAUGUUAGUGUAACUCCGUAUUCUUCAAACAAUUCCUUUACAAGUUCCUUUGGCUUAAACUUUGGGUUAUCAUGCAGCUUCUCCUUAAUGAUAGUAGUCAACCACUGUCUUGUUGCUCGACGCUGACCCUCUCCACUUCCUCCGCUACAAGUAUGUUCAUCUGUCAUUCUCUUGAUAACAAAUUUCUUGUUACGAGAUGAUUCAGACGCAUGCAACCUCCAGGUGCAGCCUCCUUCUGCAGCACAUUUUACAGUGACGCGACUGGUUUCAUUUUUUAUGAAUCGGUACACAAAUCCUUUCCCAAUAGCAUACUUGCACAACUGAGCACGGAAAUCUUUCACAUUAUCAAAUUCUUGACCAACUCCUUUGAUAAUGUCAUCCCACAAUGCAAUAGGAUUGUUAGGUCCCUGAGGCUCAUGCAUGAUCUCAGAACCAACAUAUGGAAUGAAUGCAUCAUCAAACAGACUAACUGCUUCCCUGAAAAAAAAAUCAUACAAAAUUGACAAAAAUCUCUCAAAAAAAGUAAUCCUUUUUAGCAAACAAUAUGGAAAGAGAUAUGAAUGUGUAACAAGUUACCUGGGGAUAUUAUCAACAAGAGCAAGCUUUUGCUGAUCAAGAAUAUCUGAUGUGAAGGAAGCGCCUCCAGCUGUGGUGGUAAAUGCGAUGUCAUUCCCAAAUUCCAACUGAAAAACCCUAGUUUUGAUCAAGAUGAAAACGGUAACUGGGAGUGGACAAUGUAGUAAAAAAAAUACCAUUGACUUAUGAACAAAGUAAAUAAUAGUACUGCAAUAGUGUAAUAGGAUAUAGUAACAGAACUGCAAAAUAGACAUUCAAGAUGAACUAGACCACAUGUCCACUGGGGACUUUAUUUGAUUAAACCAAAAGGUAUGGACCGUAGUCUAUAAAAGUGAAGCUAUUCCUUGAAAUGAAGAAACAACUUCAACAGAUGGCAGUAAGUAGAAAAAUUUUAUACAGCUAAAAUUUAGGAUCACAAUGGAAACGUUCGCAUUGGUAUGGACUGGUUCGUGGUAAGGGUCAGAGGACCAGAGAAAACACUAGAUUGUUAUCGCUAACAUUGAACUUGAUACCUCUCAUCAUGAGACUCUAUUAGCACUUAUUUUUUAUUUCUUUGCUUGAACCCAGGAGGAGAUUAUGUUUUUCAUAUGUAGUGAAGCUUUCUAAACGACACACUAACAACUUAACAGAGUGCACAGAUAUGUGCAGCUAACAGACAAAUGUAGGAACUAUCAGUUAAUUCAUAGCAUCAACAGAUGCAUUUUUCUCAGCAUUUACAUUGAAAGUAGUUUAUUCUGCAUAACAUCUCAGAGCAAAGAAGGCAUAGGUUAAGCAAUUGUGUGUAGGUUGAUCCUGCACCUGUUGUCUUCAUUUUCAGUAGUAACUGAAAUUGGUUGUCUCAAACUAUCUGUGAUAACUUGAACUGCAUUGCCAGGAGCGCUGGCAGCUGGCUUGCUGCUUCUGAUUACCCUAGAAGGGAUAGCAUUGAUUGUGAUGCUUAUAAGAGUAUGGGGUUGUACAUAAUGUUGAUAAAAAAAGACGAGCGAUACCACAUACUUGUUUUUGGAAGUGGGUCUUUUCCUUUUGUCACCACUAGCAACAGAGCCAGAUGUAGCUCCAGAUUGUGUUACAAUACUCCUGAUUAUCCAGCAUGAGACAAAACAAUCCAUCACCUCAUGAUAUGCUUGACGUUUCAGAAAAAGGUAGAACCAGACAUACCUGUUCUCUUGUCUGCUUAUCAGAAAAACAUCCACAUGUGCAGCAUUGGCAGUAAAAUCAACCAUCCUUUGCAAAUCCCGGUCACAUGAUAUAGUUAUGAGUGUUUUCAUAUUAUUGGGAAGAAAGUACUUGAGUGACAUGUCAGUGACAUCAACAUGGAACACCUUGGACAGCUCAUCCUUGAAGCCCUCCAGCGACGAAUCACGAGUAACAUCAACAGCAUGCGCUUCUCCACCUCUGUAUAUCAGGUUGCCACUGGGGCCAGAAGCGAACUCUCCGCCGUACUGGCAAAUGGCUACCACAAUAGCCCCAUCCGCCAUGCUCCCUGAGUCACAGAUUUAGUCAGUAUAAAAGACACAACAGUUUAGAAAGGAAAGUGAAAUUCAUCUCUGUCCAGCUUCACUGGUAUGGAUUACACUGAAUCGAAUAACAUGCAGUCAGCAAGUAAAAUCAGAAGAGCAGCAUAUGCAAGUCAACUAGUCAAGCAUGUCGGUUGAACUGCACAUGAUAUUUCAGACAAAGCAUUCAUCAAAGCAAAAGAUGGAGCGAAAUCUAAGACAGACCUGUAUUAUAUUAUGUAUUACAAAAAGGACUACUGGUUGAGUCACGUAACCAAAAAGUUUGCAACUUUGGAGCUGUCAAGUCAUCGUCGUACUGAACUUUCAGAAGACACAGAAUGUGAAAUUGUGAAUGGCUUCACGAUGGACAACAAACUUGUCAAUUUGAGCAGUCAAACAGUAUGGUAAUCUCAGCUACGAAUUGGAAGCCUGCGAAACUAACUUGAUGGAACCAAUUCGCCUAUGUGUCUGCCGUCUGCGUGUCUGUGUGACAGUAGUCAGGAGGAAAACAUGGGGCGCUGUGCCAUUCACUCCAAAUCGCGGGUCCGCUAUGACAACAGACACCAAAAGCAAGGUAGGUACUGAAAAAGAAAGGGGUCAAGUUGGGAAAUUUUUGUUCAAGAAUCCCCUACCAUUUACACAAAUCACACUAAGCGUUGAGUGCGAGACCAAGAAGAACAGCAGCCGCCGCUAAAUAACCAACGCCGGGGGGCCACCACGGAAAAACGUGGAAUCUCCUAGUCCUAGGAGAAGCACAGAAUUCACUUAAACCCCCAAAUUUUACGGAAAAUAAACUGCGCCGGCGCGGUGUGAAACCAGCGAAGCUGAAGAACCAAAACGAACCAUUGAACUGAGCAGGGACCUGAUGAGUUCGAUUGAGAACGGAACCGAACCCCGACUUCGCGCACAGAUUAAGGAACGCACGCAUGGAAUCCAAGCAAGCAAGCAAGGAGCUUUGGAGACAUACCAGCACAAGGAGGAGGACGAGACACCAAUCGCCGCCCCAACUGGAUCGGACGGGGUGAGGAGGCGGGCGCGGUAGGGGGCGCCGGCGGCGGCGCAGGGGCAGGAGGAAGAAGGGGAUCGGUUUGUUAGGGCUGCGGAUGGGAGGGGUAUUUUUGAUAUUUUUCUGGACUACUAGGGAAAACUUGGCCGGUUGUUUUUACAAGUUUGCCAUCACGUUAACGUGACCCUGCGUCCCUGCUCAAUUCCUCAAGGUCUGAUCUGAUAUAUUGCACGCCAAGUCUUUUUUCUUUUAUUUCCAACCCUCAGCAAUUCUUUUUACGACUAGGCAGCAAAUAUUAAUAAUAUAUUUAUAAAUGGAAGGGAGGGAUGAUAUUUUGGUAAUUGGGCAUUAAAUGUGAGAUAUCCAAAAAUCAAUUCUUUGAGAAAAUCUCUAGGAUUUUGUCAUUUAAGCCAUGUUUUAGUCUUGAACUAAGGAAAGACGGGGUUGGAUCUAAACUAUUGGGUUUCAAUCCAUCAAAUAGAAAAUUAAAGAAGCUGGAGGUCUAACAUUCAUGUCUGCGAAUAUAAAUAAUAUGUUUGAACUGUGAACAUCUAGUUGCUACACAAGUAUAUGAUAUAUAUUACAUAAAACUUGAAAGUUAAAUGGAUAGGCUUCUUGUUAGACUUCAAUUGCAAGUCCCACACACAAAUAUAGAGUCAAAUCACUAUUGAAGUCAAGAACAUAGAAAAGGGAAGGACUUUAGUACAACAUGAGUGUGCAGGAUUUGAACCUCCAGCGCGCACACCUCCUCACAGUAGUUUAGUCAAAAAAAAUACAGCAGCUAUUCUUCACAGACCAACCUCACCCACACACACAUGGUUUCGCUGGAGCUCCAUGGCCGCGGCGAGCUAGGGUUUCGCUGGAGCUCCGCGGCCAUGGAGCUCCAACGAAACCAUGGCUCACUCACAACACCACCUUCUCCCCCAUUGGUCGCUGCCAUGGCAGGAGCUCUCCUGCCCCGACUUGGCCUAGCCACCACUGUCGUCGCUAGCUCCCCUGAACCGCCUGCCAGUCAUCCCCGCCACCUGGCCUACCUGCCUCCUCUGGCCGACCAUUUUAUACACGCCAGAGUUCGAAGAGAUGAUAGAGAGAGAUCACUGUAACCCUAGCUUAGAGAUUCGGGAGGACGAGGAGAGAGGAGGAGGCUUACCUUGCCGGAUCCACCAUGACUGGGGCCGGAUCUGUCGGAUCCAGCAGGGCCACCAGCGGGAUCUGCCCAUGGUGUGCUUGGGCAUGGUGGGGCGCAAUGGAUGCUGGGAGGACCUCACCGGGCUCAUGAGACACAGACGCAACUCGCUGAGGCUCGCGUGGAGAGAGAGAGAGAGUAGCAUAGGGAAGAAAAGCGCGUUGGGAACAAAAGAGUCAUGUGUGUGUGGGUGAGCGUGCCAAGGGGUAAUAAAACACAUGCCCGUAAUUAAGGAUUUUGGGAAAAGGGAAAUAAAAUGGGUUGAAUACGAAGAAAGGGGAGGAAAAUUUCCACACCAAAUUUGACUAAUCAAUUUUUAUUGACAUUGUCUUCUCCAACGAUCUAACGAAUGCAACUUCAUCAAGCUCCACUUAGGGUUAGAUGUUGUGAUUAGGAGUAGGGUGUCAAAUUAGGGAGGGGAUCUAUGUUAGUGGGUUUAGAGGAAUGGAUAAUGGAGCUUGCUUGAGUGAGAUGGUGGUGGCGUAUGGGUGGGAUAGCUAACAGUGGUUGGUGUUGCCUGCCAAGAUAAUGAGGGUUGAUUGAGAGGGUUGAUGGUAGGGGCACAGUGGCUAUAGUUUUGGCAUCAGCGGCGAUCAUGGGAGAAGAGGAUCUAAUGGUAAUGGCACUACCCAAUUGAGAAGGACAAAGAUGGACGAUGGGGCAGCAUUCGGGGAAGGAUGUCUACAUCAGCAUCACUGCACCUAUUAGCACAAUGGUCAUAGGAGAGUCAAAUUUAAACAUGUUAUCUUGUAGGCAAGAAUAGUGUGGAAGUUCAACAUUCCAUGAGGGCGUUGAUGCUAGAGAAAGGCAUGGUUGAUAAAUGGGAUAGGGAUAAAAGUGAAAUUAACAAAGAAAGAGGAAGCUAGUGUUGAGUAGGAAGAAAUGAGUAGAAAAUAAUGUUGGGUGAUUGUGUGGCAUCCACAUAGGGGGUUCUUGUGUUACCACUAAAUGGAGAGUACUCGCUCUAGUCACCUCCUGCAUUAAACUAGUAGAAACACAUAUGGGCAUAAAAAUGUGUCUACUUCCUUGCUAGGCAAAUAAUUUUAAAGAUCAACGUCAUCACAAUGGAUUGAAGAUGAAAGGUUGAGUGUGCCAUGAGGGCAAGGAGUAACUAACUAUUUAGCAAGUGUUGUUGUGAUGUGUAGUUGAAGGGGUAAUAGACACUACUAGAUAAAUGGGUUUUACAACACCACAUUACAACUGACAAUAAAUAAACCAGUAGCAAUGAUACAUGUCAUUUCCAAUUUGCAUUUUGAGUCAUUAUAGUGAUACUUAAAGUGAAUAUUUCUCUAAUAUGUUACUCUUAUUUUGUAGUGCAAACCUGUUGCAAUAUAAGAGUGAGUGUUAAGGGAGGUCCUACCCUAUUCCUUGGCCAAUCAACCCAAUUUUAGUUGACUUUCUCAUCAAGUUACUUGUAGGCGAAGCAUGUUCUGGCUAGGAUGGAUAUUAUCUCUACAUGGCUUACUAUAGAUCGUAGAGGAGCUUAGUUGAUCUUAUACACCCUUGGAUUACUGCGAAGACAUAUACAAAUUGGGGGGACACAGUUUAGUGAGGAGAACACUCUAUAAGCCCCUAAUACCAACAAAUCCAAAGAUAACAAAAAUUGGAGCAAAAUAGUGGUAGGCCUAGCCCCUAGGGAAAAGAUCAACCACAUUUCUAUCUUAUUUUGCCAAAUUUCCUUCCCCUUUGAACCACAUAAUCAGAGGACUAUAAAUAGGUCUCUCGAAACCUAUGUUUCAACAUAAUCCGCUAAAUGUUGAAAGGAGAUCUUGGAGGGAGCUGAAGGGCAUUGUCAAUCCUCAAAGAUUAUUAAGAGAUGGCCCAAGCUAGAUCCGAGCUGCCAUGCAUGGUUGCCCAGUCUAGUUGGCCACGGUGGAGUUCUAGAGCCAAGCUUCAAGUUCAUUAGAGCAUGUAAGCACAAUGAUGGUAUCAAUCCUUAUGGUGUCUUUGUCUUACUUUAAGUCUAUUGCAAUGCACAUUUUAUUCAUAUUUAUGCAACGGCUGCCUAGUGGGUCUUCCUAGAUUAAAAGGAAUUGCUAUUUUUUAGCCUGGUUUAUAAUCAUAGCUGCCUCUAGAAAUCGAUUUGGAGGGAAAGCUGUUGUUGCUAGCCGCUUCUAGAAAUCGAUGGUUUCUAGCAACAUACAACUACCUUGAAAAAGGCCGAACAGUAGCUAAAUGAUAAAAAAUGAUAAUACGCCACAAACAAGCGCAUUACAAUAUUAUUUGCUAAUUGUUCAUGCUUCAUUAUUGCGCUCGGAAAAGUGAUGGUUUAAUAGGAAAAAACAUUGCAGAGAUUAAAGCAAAAAAACAAUAUAAUUUGUUAUAUAUUGUCAUGGUAUAACUUACGUCUUGAAAAAAAAUUUGGAACUAAACAAGGCCUUAACCUAGUAAAACAAAGCCAACAUGUCAAACUGAAUAGAGAAUGGUGCGAAUCCGCUGGCUAGCAUAUCAGCGUCUCUCGUGCAAAACAAGCCAGCUGACGGGCUGAGUUUGGUCUCGUCCGCCAUCCUCCUAUAUCUUCCGCUGGUUUGAGAACAGAAAAGUAAAUUACAUUUCAUUUUGUUGAUUUCACAUGCAAUUGGUGGUCCAAAAUAUUCUCGAAAGACUAUCAACAGAAAUGAAGCGUGUGUUCAGUCUACAGUACGUACACACAUAUGCGGCUCACUGUGUCGCCUUUGACCUAAAAACACGUAAUAAUCGAAUCCUAAAUACAUUAGCCAAAGAAAUUACAAUCACAUAGGUAUAGUAGAUAUUAAACUAAAAAUGUAUUUUUCUUUAGAUAAAGAAAAAAAAUUAAACUUGGAAAGCCAAAACAAGUAAAUCUUUGGCUUUGCAGUAUACUUGGCUAAAUGGGUGAGACCCAUUGGGCUUAGAGAUGUCAACGGGGAAUUCCUCGUCGGAGAGUGCUUCCCCAUCCCCAUCUCCGUGGGGAAGAAACUUCCCCCAUCCUUGUCCCCGCGAAAUGUCACGGGGGAGAUUUUCUCCUCAUCCCCGUCCUCGUGCGGGGAAUAAUCCCCGUGGGAUUCCCGUAUCCGCGUUAGUUCAUAUUAGUUUAUAUGAUGUUAACUAUUCAUAUAUUCACCAAUUCAUAUUAAUAGUAUACAAACAAAUCCCUUAUACAAAGAUUCACAUUUGAGACUGAGAAAGUGAAGGAUUAGGGUUUCAACUUUGCUUAUAUACCACAAUUAUUAGACCUUGCAAGUAUAUGAGCCUUCGAAAUCGGGUCCCCGUGGGGAGUGGGGACGGGGGCAUGCAUACCAUCCCCGUCCCCAUGAACCCCGACGGGGACAACUUUUGCCCCAUUUAAUACCAUCCCUGUCCCCCUAAUGGGUGAAUUCCCCGCGGACAUCUCUAAUAUUUGGACUGGCACUAGCAUGACACUAAAAAGCACAUUGUAAGCAUGGCCUGGCCCAAGGCCCAUUAUGCUCGUGCCUGGCUCAGAGUGGUGGUAGUGUCAUGCAUGGACCGUAAGUUUGGCCUGUAGUACCAACACGAGGGUCUACUUUGGUGUAGGAUUUACGAUCAUAAUUGUACCGGCAUGGAAAAUCCCUGUUAUUAGAAGGCAAUCUUAAGAAAGGCACGAGGGUCUUAUUCAAUCAUUAUAUAUUGAAAUGAAAUUAUUAUGUAUUAAAAUGAAAAUAAGUAACUGUAUAAGGAAAAACAAUCCCCGUUGAAGGCAAUCUUGAGAAAGGCAGGAAGCAUUAUUGAAUCAUUAUGUAUUGAAAUGGAACAAGUUUUUUUUUAUCACGAAAUGGAACAAGUUGGUCUUCAAUCAGAACUAGUCUUCAAUCAGAACUAUUACUAUUGCGAGUUUACUAGGUUACUAGUCUGUCCACAAUUCAUUGGGGAUCAUUUGAAACUGCUGUGCGGUUUCUAUCUGUUCACAUUUUUUUUUCUACCGAUAAGGGUAUGUAACAUGCUGCUUGCCUGGAAGCCUCCGUUCGUCCAUGUUAUGUGGAUGGUACUUCAGGCAUGUCACAAUAUUUAAAUAAGUUUAAAAGAAAAGGAAAAGGUACCAUGAAUAAUAAGUUAAGAAGCCUAUAUUAUUUUCACUCUGUCAAUUACUUCAACUCUAUUUUUUUUUUGUGUCAACAUCAAAUAGAAUGAUAAGUUAAGAAGCCUUUAUUAUUCACCACUACCACACACGACAAAGAAUCGCAACACGCGCGCGCCACCAACCAAAUCAUCAAAACACAAAGCUAGAACAGCUGGGAUAGGCUACACCAUAUUACCCUCGUGCUGAGGGAGAGGGACGGAUGAUAACAAUACAAUGGCGGCUCUCCUAAGAAGGACGACUAGUAGUGAUUGAGAGCAAGAAGCAUGGGUGUCAGACAUGAGUAUACAAGUAUUUGGCGCAAGCCCGGCAGUAUCAUCCUCCCGGCAUCACCGUGGCUGGAGCCUGGAGGAAGAUGUGGACUCGAGGCUGGUGCCUCUGCCCUCGCACUGCCUGGACUUGCUGCGCCCCGUCAGGAGACGUAUUUGCAACUCCCGUAACCUGCAAUAUAAAUCAAGAUUCAGACACACCAUGAGGAUGAGAUCAUGCAGGGUCAAAUUCAGAAACAAAUACAGACAAUCGUUCAACUUACUGGGGUCACUGGAGGUGACCACGCCGGUGCCCUUGAAGUUGCAGUCGUAGUCGUGCAGGCCAUUGGCCUGGUAGUACGCGUUCAUCACGUACGAAGCAUGCGACUGCACGUUGUUGGGGUCAAAGCACGCGCCGCCACUCUGGAUCGGCUUACAGUCGAUGUAGCCACAGGCGUAGUUGAUGUUGUUCUGCAGGUCGGUUGCGCUCGCGCCGGACUUGGCCACACACCACUUGCCUCCUCCUGACGGCGACGGGUUUGGGCUUGGCUUCGGAGAUGGGUUUGGAGAUCCGGACUGCAGGGGCAGAUAGAAGAAAUUAGUUGAUUGUCAGCAUCACUGCAUCAGAGUGGAACAAUUCAUUUUUGUCAACAAAAAAUUAGAAAUUGAAUACAGUCACAUGAUGGUGAGGCUAAGCAUUGUUUUUUCUCAAAGCAAAAUUUCCCUGGUAUUAGUUCGAGACUCUGAACUGAGAUAUGCUCAUGUGCACACUUAGCCCUUAAUCAAUUUAUUGUCAUAACCCUUUUGGUAAACUUUAGCCUGACAAGACUAUGCAAUUGUACAUAUGACUUUAGCAUGUGACGAGAUACAAACACAUGGUCUCUGGAGUCACUACUGGCAGCACCCAAAAGGCCAAAAUAUGCCCUGCCCAACUUGAUCGCACACCUAAGAUUCUUGAGUUAGGCACUAACAUACACGUCGCAGCAGAAUUCUAAAGAAUACAGACAGCCCCACCUUCUCCACAUGGUGGUGCACUUUGCCAGGGCAUCAGCAAAAGCAACAAGUUUGAAAUCGUCGCUUCCCACGCUGCCCCUACCUCAUUCUUUGAUUGGGCAAUUGGGGAAGCUACUCAGAUCAUAUAGCUCAAGCAGAGUAGAGAGAGUUACAAUGAAUGUUCAAAAGCUUGAGGUAAUGGCUACUACUCGGAAGCUAGAAACGGUGCGAGAGAAAGAGGAAAACCCCCAGCCAAGCCAUAAAGGUGUGCCUGACUUGUUGGUGGCGAUGACCACCUACUGAAGAAUCCUCAGUUGGAAGUACACGGAAAGCAUCCGGCAGUAAACCAAGUAAGAAGCUUUUAGGGGUACAUUCAUUCAGAUUUCAGAAUCUAGAGCCCAUCUGCUUUGCUUCCUGGUAGCUACUUGUGCAUGCACGGAACCUCCACCGAUUCCGAUGAAGAGAUAAAAGCAUAAAGGCAAUGGAUGUUACGUGUAUACUCGUACUACAAUAUACAAGUCAGAACCUAUAUAUGAAGCUACCCACAUCAUGCCCUAUCCAUAUACUAUCUGCAGUGUGUGGGGAUAAGCACCAUGUGGUGCAGUCUAGAAAUCAACAUGCGUGUACAAAACGCAUGGGAUGCCGUCAAAAGCCUGAUGGAGGCAUGGGAUGCCGUCACUAGACCCAUCGAGAAAAAAAUAAAAACGACAAGCAAGCAAGCACACAGGCUAAGAAAUCCUUUGACACAAUACUUGUAGAUGGCAUCAUGGAGACGGUUGGGAGAAGAAAAGUUGGAAACGAAAGCGACACUUUCCAGAUGGGGCGGCGGUCCGGUCCACGCGGCAACAUGUGCGUAUGGCUGCACCUGUACUCUCUCUCCUGAUAAUUCUCAGGCCUUGUUUAGUUCCAAAUUUUUUUGCAAAAUUGACACUGUAGCACUUUCGUUUGUAUUUGACAAAAAAUGUCCAAUCAUGGACUAACUAGGCUCAAAAGAUUCGUCUCGUCAAUUUCGACUAAACUGUGCAAUUAGUUUUUAUUUUCAUCUAUAUUUAAUACUCCAUGCAUGCGUCUAAAGAUUCGAUGUGACGGGGAAUCUGAAAAAUUUUGCAAAACUUUUUGGGAAGUAAACAAGGCCUCAGUGUGAACCAAACAGCAUUUCAAUUCUUGGCAGCAUCAGCAGCGAGAGAGAGACCACCCGUGAGUGAGCCAGCCUCAAUCAGGCAUGUGUCUACCCGGCCGGGUGCUUCUUUCCUUCCUUGCAGUGACACGUACAGUACAGACUAGUAGUAGUACAGCUUACAGUAUGAUGACGUUUCCGUGCUAGGUACCUUCCCUUCCCAACGGUCGAAUCUCACACUGGGGAUGGACGCCGGUGGCGAAAAUUUAAAAAAAAAAUCCAACUGAUUUUUCACUUCGCUGGGACCAAAAAGAAAUAAUAAUAAUAAUAAAAUGGUGCUAUGCUAUCAUCGUAAUGUGAACCUAUGACCUCCCUCAAAACCUGGCAAUGGCAAUCGCGACCCUUUGACUGUUUUGACCCCCCGCCCCCGCCCCCGCCCCCGCCCCGCCGCGGCUUCUGAAACCGCGUCGGUCCCAUCUGCAGCCCCCUUUCCUUAAUUUCUGCCAACAUGGGAUGGGAUCUCACACUACAAUCUCCUCAAAUUUCUACGAUUUCCCCCCACCAAAUUGAAUCAAUCAAUCAAUCAAAGUAACAAAUCGCGCAGAUUGGGACCCAAUAAUUGCAGCAGAUUCCUCCGCAAAUCUCAUCGUAAUGAAUGAAGGAACGAACUAAAACAAAACAAAACAAGGCAACAGCAGACUAGUAGUAGCAGCAGAAGAAGAAACUCAAACUCACGGAUCCUUGGCGAAGCAGUCCGAGAUCAUACUUGGGCGUGAAAUCCGUGUUAAAGAUGCCAAAAUUCCUCUCCGCCACCGGCCCAGGCUUCUGAUUCUCAUCAAACAGCGAGAACACGUACGUCUCGAACUUCCUCCCGGGCAUCAACGGCGUCCCCUUCCCUCCGCUACACACCCGGAUCAUCCCGGCAUUAAAAUCUUUCGCCUCCUCGACCCCCACCCCGACCUGCGCCGCCUCCGCCUUGGUCGGCCACCCGGCCUCCCCGACGGCGAUCUCCACUCCAUCUCCAAACCCGAGCUUCUUCAUCGCCGUGUAGAUGGCGUCCAUCUGCGCGUCGAACAUGCUGGUGUAGUUGAGCUUCGUCCCGGGGUCGUACACCCCGGCGUUGGGCCGGAACACGGCGUAGUUGAGGUUGGCCGCGUUGUAGCUGAAGUAAGGGUAGGCGUUGACCAUGAACGGCGACCCGGUGUCGUUGUGGAACCUGAGCAUGGGCGCGAGGACCUUGGCGUCGAGCCCCGGGCGGAACCGCGCGUUGGACGGGAUCCCGUCGGAGGGGGCGAGGAUCCCCAGGUAGUGCGGCGUGGUGACGCGGACGUCGGGGAGGCUCUCGAGCUGGAGCGCCUGGGCGAGACGACGCAUCGCGGGGAGGAGGGCGACGACGAGGUCCGGGACCACGGUGGGGCCCAGCACCUCGUUCCCGGCCAGGAGGAGCGUCACGUUGGCGCCCGCGGAGAUGUGUGGGGAGAGGUUGUCGCGGACCCAGCCCCGCGCCGCGUCCAGGCCGCUGGAUCUGUCGGCGAAGGUCGGGAGGACGGCGUUGGGGAUGGAGACGGCCAGCGAGAUGGACGGCGCGUUGGCGGCGAACGCGUCCAGGAAGGCUGGGUUCGCGUCGAAGAGCUUCACGCGGUCGAUGGUCGUGCUCUUGGCGAGGAAGGAGGCGACGGCGGCGGGGGUGGGCAGGUUGUCGGCGUUCGCGCCGUAGUUGACUCCGAUGGGCAGAGAGGGCAGGCCCUGCUGCCCCUGCGCCGCCGCCGUCCCAUGGAGGAAGGCGGCGAGGAGGAGGAGGAGGAGGAGCGGGAGCAUCGGGAGGCGUGCGCGCCGCGCGGGGGCUCUGCUGCUCCCAGUGUUGGUGGGAUGGAUGGACGGACGGACCCGUUGUGGUGUGGUGUGGUGUGGUGUGGGUGGGUUUUGAAACCUCUGCGCUCGCCGGCUCGACGCUGCUGCUAAAACCCUUUUUAUACAUUAUAAUUAAUUAAUGACGCUUGUCUACAGGCAGCCUUCCCUGGUUUCUCGCAACGUGAGAGGUGCUGCUGUGCCCCGGCAGUUUCCUCUCCUGCCUGUCAUGGCCUGCUGCCUACUCCUGCUGCUGCUAAUGCUUCCACGAUUUCUCCUCCUCUUCUUCUUCUUCUUCUUUUGUGCUGCUGCGAGUGUUUUCUUUUUAUAUUAUAAAAUAUUACAUUGUAGGUAUAAUAUAAAUUCUACCUGUAGGGCGGAAGUUUUGAAAGAAAGUGGUGACAAGAGAGGGGAAAAAAAACACGUACUAGGAAUAUAUUUUUGGUGAUAGAAAAAAAAAUCAUUUUUCCUCUUCCAUCUUUUUUUCUUUUUUGUGUAUAAGGUAUUUACUUACCUACCUAUUGCUACUAUUAUAGGAAGAAAAUAUUAGGCAAAAAAGGCUUCCAUGUUAAAGAGUGGUUAGAGCAAGCAAGCUUCCAAAUCCAAACUAAGACCUACUUUGGAUUGCAUGAGUGUUAAACAUUAAAAAAAAAGGAAAAAAAAUGUAGGAACAGAAUAGGAGUGCAGGUGAAAAAUAGAGGAAUCCAAAACAUAGAAUUUUUUUAUACCUAGGUGUUUGGAUAGGCAAAUGAGAAACACAGGAAUCUUAAAUGAAUUUUUAUGUGCAAAGAGUCAUUGCUUUCUUAAUCAAUCUAGUAGUAUUAUUAUAGGAAAAGAUUAAUUAUUAGUGAUAGAAAAGAUUCUAUUUUUCCACCUAGCCUCAAAUUACUUAUUACAAACUUUAUCUACCUAUCUAGUACUACUAUUAUAUUAUUAUUAUUGUUAUUAUAGGAGAAGAUUAGCCAAAAGGUUUUCAUGUCAAGGAGCGGUGAGAGCGAGCGUAAAUAAAGAGUCAUAGCAACGAUUUGCUGCACGAGGAGACUGGGAGUCUGGGAUCUGUUCCUUCCAUUAUUAUGGAGACGAUUUGCAUCAUCUUAUUUUCUUUCCCAUGGAAAAAAAUAAAAGAGGCACCUGCUCUGGAAAGGUACACGACUCGUUCGCAAAAAAAAAAAAAAAAGGAAGGUACACGACUACACGAGGGCAGCGGUGGCAUAUCAUAUUUGUGUGAACACUUGCUUUAAUAAUUCCUCUUUGGGAUUGAAAUGAAAAUACAUAGCACUAAAGCUGCGAAGCUGCCGUGUUUCCUAUUUUCAUAAUUCCGCGUGCUUUGAAUUUCUUAUCACAGACUCUCUUUUUUUCCGUCGUAACAAGGGGCCAAAAGUUUUUCUUUUUUUGUGUCCGUACUCUGUGUCCAUGGGUCACACACACACGGACGUCGCAGUCGUUCCUUGACAAAUCCAAUUCGGACUUGCACGCUGUUGUCGGCUGUCGCUGAAUCAUCAGGCAAUCCAGUGAUGCAUGAGUCAAGCGGCGGCCCACAGGCCAGUGACGAAACGAAAUGCGUGCUAACAAACUACCCUCGGCUUCUCAUCUUAACCAAUGUCUUUCGGGCCUCGUUUAGUUCCGAAAUUUUUUCGGAUUUUAGCACUGUAGCAUUUUUGUUUUUAUUUGACAAACAUUAUCCAAUUAUAGACUAACUAGACUCAAAAGAUUUAUCUCGUGAUUUACAGACAAACUGUGUAAUUAGUUUUUAUUUUCGUCUAUAUCUAAUGCUUUAUACAUGUACUCUAAGAUUUGAUUUGACGUAAAAUCUUGAAAAGUUUUUGGUUUUCAGGGUCAACUAAAUAAGAGCAUCUCCAACCAUUAUGCAUUUGAAGUUAUGCAUUUUAAGCAAAUUGCAAACCCCUAAAUGAGAAUGGCAAGGCUAAAAUCGGGUGAUCUCCAACCGUUAUGCAAAAUGCCAAGUCGAUCCCGCGCCAAACUUCCCGCGGCACUGCAUCCCGCGCGGCACUCCUUCCACGCGCGGCCAAACAGCCCGCCGCCGGCGCACGUUCAGCUCGCCGCCGGUCUCCACGUUCAGCUCGCCGCCGUCGCCCUAAACCCUAAACGACCUAGGAGCCGCGGCCAUGCUCCGAUCCACGCUCAGCUACUCUAUAUAUGAUGAAUAUGCAUGAUUACCUGGCCGGCGUUGAUGAGGAAGGCUUCGUCGCGAGCGAAGCUGUCGAAGAGGACGCGCGAAGCUUCUGUAUCGCGCGAAGUUUGUGGCGGCGCGAAGCCAAACCGCGCGAAGGGAGGGGUUUUGCAUAGCCGGACUCCUUUGGCAUAUAUGCCAAGUUUCCCCCUCCAAAUGCAUAGCUAUGUAAAAUGCAAAGUCCAAAUGCAUAACGAUUGGAGGGGUUUUUUUUGGAGUUUUAUGCAUUUUGAUAAAUGCCAAGUCCAUUUGCAUAAUGGUUGGAGUUGCUCUAAGGCCUCGGUUUUCUUCUAGUAUUACUAAACAGAAAGAAAAAACAAAUAAACAGAGAGCGAAGCUACAGAAAGAAAAAACAAAUAAACAGAGAGCGAAGAGGCCUUGUUUAGUUCGCAAAAUUUUUUGUUUUUGGAUACUGUAGCAUUUCGUUUUUAUUUGACAAACAUUAUCCAAUCACAGAGUAACUAGGCUCAAAAGAUUCAUCUCACAAAUUAUAGAUAAACUAUACAGUUAGUUUUUAUUUUCGUCUAUAUUUAAUACUCCAUGCAUGCGACUAAAGAUUCGAUGUGACGAAAAAUCUUGAAAAAUUUUGCAAACUAAACAAGACCUAAAUGGUUUCAGGAAAGUUGGCAUGUCUUCUUCUUUUGGGUUACUGCAGGCGUGGGACGGCAAAAAUAAAUAAUAUUCCAUUCCAAAGCUUAACUAACUAAAGUUGUGUUGUUUUCGAAUCACACAACCCCUUUAUUCCUGCGUCGAAAUUGAUAUGUAUUUUUUCUUUUCUUUUGGAAAGGGAAGGAAAGGAAAUAAAAGAUUCACUAAUUUAUUUUUUUAAAAAAAAAAGGUUUUGCGAGGGCAGCGUGUCAUAUAUUCGUCUUGCUCACGCACAUUUAUUUGCUCUCUUCUCUUGGGGUAAUGGGGUUUGCCUUCCUACGAGCUUCUUCUUUUUUGCAUGCGUCUCGAUGAGCAGAGCAAUGGUAGGCCUUGUUUAGUUUCGAAAACUGAAAAAUUUUCGGAACUGUAGCACUUUCGUUUGUUUGUGGUAAAUAUUGUCCAAUCAUAGACUAACUAGAGUCAAAAGAUUCGUCUCAUGAUUUACAGUCAAACUGUGUGAUUGGUUUUUGUUUUCGUCUAUAUUUAAUGCUUCAUGCAUGUGCCGCAAGAUUCGAUGUGACAGGAAAUCUUGAAAAUUUUUUGAAUUUCGGGGUGAACUAAACAAGGCCGUAGUAGCUGACUCACCAGACCAGACCAAUCACCCAAUCGCAAUCCAUCAUCUGUUGAUCCUCCAGCGUUUCUUUCAUGCUGUGCUGAAACAAACGGACCUGACAUCACUGGCUAUACGCCAAUAGCCUUAAUAACAUUGCACAACUAAUUCCAGUCAUCAUUCAUUCAUUAACCUAAAACAGCACAUCCAGAACAAUUACCACUAGUACCAUACCAGGUUUACAACCAGAGUCUUCAAAAUAUCUCAGACACAUACAAAGACACCAUACAAAACCGUCUCCACCCACCGACACCACCCAUCCAUCCAUUCCGAGCAACCAACACCUGACUUAGCCAACACAUACAAACAAUCCACUUAGGAAAAACAAAACAGAGCCUAGCAGCAGAGAUAAACUGCCCCAAUCAGCACAAGGGGCCAACCAAUCUGUGCCCACACCCUUCAGUUCCAUCGCCACAUUCAUCAGCUGCUGAUAGCUGGCGACGCCGACCUUGACCGCGACCCUGGAGGCGACAUGGACGCUGGCCGGGGCGACCUGCGGCGACCGCGAUGAGGCUUCUCGUCCUCCUCGCCUGCUGGGGACUUCUUCCUCCUGUCAUCAACAAAUAACAAAUGAAUGUUACUGCUAUUCAACAGAAGCACACAUCUGAAGCAGCUACUCCUGCUGUAUACAUAUAAUGAAUUCUAUUUUAUACCAUACAAAAAAACAUCCAAAAUGAAUGCACCAGAUGAAGCUGCUUGUAUCAAACGGCAAACCAUACAAGAUGUGCCAACAAGUGACUCGAGGCUAAACUAUGCUUCGACUCUAGGUAUCAUAGGCCCAGGAUUCUAACUGGGAAACAAAAAGAGCCUCCUCCCUGCCAUGAUGCAGUUUGACACUCAAGACAAUGCAAAGAAUGUGCCUCAAUAUACAUGUAAAUGUGUUGUGUGUACAAGGGAUUUCCACAAUAAUAUUGCUCAGGAAAGGCAUUUCGCACCAAGCUUGCUUUACACAAUUAUUCAUCAAACAAAUAAAGACACUAUUGCUCAAAGUUGCUCAGGAAAGGCAUUUCGCAUCAAGUAAGCUUCACACAAUUAUUCAAACAAAUAAAGACACUAAUACUCAAAGAUAUACUCCCCACAUUCCAAAUUGUAAGACAUUUUAGCUUUUCUAGAUACAUUUGCUUUUACUAUGUCUUUAGACAUCGCGUAUAUGUAAGUGCAUAGUAAAAGCUAUGUAUCUAGAAAAGCCAAACUGUCUUACAAUUUGGAAUAGAGGAAGUACACACUUUAUGAAGGCCUCAUUCCCUGAUAUCCCCCACAAAUAAGUUACCACUUCUCAUGUCUUGAUCAAACAAAUGUUCAGUGUAGCAAACCUAAUGAUGUUGCAUGUGACAGAUGGAGUAAAAUAUUGCUCAACAAAAUAACCACUCAAUAGGACGCACAACAUUGCUACUUCAGAACAUAACUAGAUUAACCCAUACACAUGCACCAACAGUCAAGGAACAGAACUUACUCGUCAUGACCGUUCUCCGCACCACGGCGAUCAUUUCUAUCAUCGGGAGUAUAGGACCUCCUCUUCUUAUCCCUGUCAUUUUCUUUAGGCUGUUUUGAUGACCUCGGAUUCUCUUCCUUUGACCGUGGUGGGGAAGCAGAGUAGUCAUCACGCCUUUUCGGGGCAGGGGAGUAUGACCUAGGUAACAUCAUUUUGAUGAAGGUUACUGCAUUGGCACAUCAUGGUUGGUUCAUUACUUAUUCAAAGAGACUCAAGACUCAGCAGACAUACUGUGAUCUACCACGGCCACGCGGGCGUGGAGAGCGGGAACGCGAGUAUGAACGAGAACGAGACCGGCCUGCACACAAGGAAAGAUAGCAACUUGUAAGUGAUCAAACAACUUGCAAAACCAUCAAUUUUCAGUACCAUAUUUUGCUACAAGCAGAUGCAACCUUCAAACAGGCAAAUAAGAUCCAAGGACAAUGAUACAAAAGAAUCGCAUGAACGGCAAUCACAAAUCUUAAAUAAACAAAACAUCAGUUUUUUUAACACCCCCCACCCCCUCCCCUUUUCCAGAUAAUCAAACAGAAACAGGUGGACAUGAAACAGGGUUUUUUUAUAAGAAAUCACAAUGCGCAUUCAUUCAUGCAUCUCAAAUAAUAGGACAAAACAAAGCAAAUAACUUAGAUUACCAUGGCGAUAAGGACGACGCCCUUCAUGACCAGAAUAACCUCUGCAGAGAUACAACUUAAGUCAUUUCAAAUGAAACACAGAUAGCGCAUCCAAAAAACCAAUGUUUGUUGGCAUACCUUGGACCAGUUCGUCUACGCAUAUCCUCAGGCCUCUUCCUUGUAUCAGCAGCAAGUACAACAGUUAUUUCACGCCCAGCAAACAUCUGACGGUUCAUGUGGUAUUGCGCCUCAGAAGCAUCAUAAGCAUCAACAAACUCCACGAAUCCAAACCCUCUUGGCUCCCUGAAUGAUCACAAAAGCCUUCAUAAGUAAAAUUCACAAAGUAUGGUUCUGGUAAACAAGGGCACAUUACGAUCAUAAAUAGUAUGUGCCUCACGAGUUACUACAAGGGAUUCAUAUCAUAUUAUGGUGAAUCAUUUAUAGUUCUCCAUAGAGCACAGCUAACAACUUACAAACAUGUUCAUCAAAUGGUAGCAAGCCUCAAAAAGUGGUUAGGAGCCCUUAGAUCCAAAAUUUCUUGUAUACAUCUUCAUAAAGUGAUUUGCUUCAAGUUCUUCGAGUUUGAAAAGUCAUGAAAAGUGCUUGAGACCAACUUGUCUUCAUUAUAUCUUCCCACGGAAGACACAGUAAAACCCUCUUCUCUUCAGGAAAUUAACAAAUCAAAUCUUGUCUUGAUAAAAGAACUUCAUUCGCACAAUACUCUAUCUCACCAAACAAAUGAACGAUCAGGACUGUUCAGGGCUUGUAUUUACUUCAACCACAAAUACAGUCCUGAGAAUAAUUUCAAGAGAGUAAUUUGUACCAGAAGAAAGCAUCAUCAUAUAAUGUAAAUAUAUCCUAUACACAGGAAAUUAAUUAGUGGAGUUCAAUAGAUGGUUGUAUCACUGGUCUUACUCCAUUGUUUCACCUUAAGUUAUCCUAUGAUGUUUUAUAUUAUGCAUAAAGUGCAUAAAAGAAAGAGAAAGGGAAUAUGGUUGAUUUCUCUUUAUGCAACUUUGCUAAGCCGUGACAAUCAGUCCAUUUUUGGAAUGGAGCAUGCAAACAUUUAGCAAUCAUAAUUUCGAUGGCAUGGUCAAAAUAUAAUCUCCAAAAAUGCUUGAUCCAAAAAAGCAGCAGAAGAUAAGGACCCCAAGCAUUCUUGUAGAAUCCAAAAUGGUUGGAUAUGUUUAUAUAUAUCUACACAUGGAAUGCAUAAAUGCACUUGUAGUGCAGUGGCGUGGGCUCCCUAUGGUUGAGCCAGCCAUACAGGGUCUGAUCCCUGGCCUUGCACCUUAUUCAGGUGGGAGUCCCUCCCCUUGUUGAGGUACAAAAAAAACAUGGAAUGCAAAUGUAACGGCUAGAAACGGUAAUACCAAAAGGGAAACACCAGCAAACCGUUACAACCCAAUCAAAGUGUUCAGUUAAACACAGACAAAUGCUUUGCUCCUAAAAGGCAGCGGAAAUUAAAGUACCAAGCACGUCUGAACCAAAACCACCAAUGGUUGGACAUGUUUAUAUAUCCAAUCAUGGCAUGCAAAUGUAACAGCUAGAAACGAAUGUCAACGGACGCAACCAUUUAUUAGCCUAUCUGCUACCUUAACACUCACCCCGUGUGAUAGUCUCUUGGCAGGUAAGGACAUGUUUAUAUAUCCAAUCAUGGCAUGCAAAUGUAACGGCUAGAAACGGAUGUCAAUGGACACAACAAUUUAUUAGCCUAGUUGCCACAUCAUUAACACUUACCCAGUGUGAUAGUCUCUUGGCAGGUAAACAUCCCGAACAGGGCCAAACCGUUCGAAAGGGACACGGAGUUCCUCAGGCCUGCAAAGUUGGUUGUAAAUGUGAGGAGCAAUUUUACCGCAUGCAUGGUGAAACAAAGGGGAAGGUUGUCCAGGUCAGAGUUUGCAUACCUGCAUCUCAAUGGAAUGUUGCGGACCAGGAGGCUGACAGAGCCAUGGUCACCACGGCCACCGCCACCGCCGUAUCCUCUCCUCGGAGGCGGGCUCCUUCCCCUGCCGCCGUAUCCUCUCCUCGGGGGGCUGUACGCGGGGCUGUACCUCCCCAUUCUUCCCUGUACCUGCACAUGGGAAUCCGUUGCCGUGCUUAGGGGAGGGAGGGAGGGAAGCAAAUCCAAUACGGUGCGCAUGUGCGCAUCGCCGUGUAAGCAAAGAAUGGAUGCGCACGCGCGCACUUUAGGCUUUGGAUUAGCUUACACCUUACAGACAGGACGCGCGCCGUUGACCGGGAAUCGAACCAAUCCCCGCGCUCGUCAUGCUAAACGGAUAGAUCCAGGCGACCGCUCGAGAACUAGGACGGAUUAAUGGAAGCUAAGGUGAAGAACGGUGCUCGGAUACAUUCGAAUCAGGGAGCCCCUUACCCUAUGUCAAGUUGCGAUUUUAUUCUGUUCUUGUUCCUAAGCGUGAGUUCGUUCUCACCACGAAGAGCGCGAGCGUCACUGGAAGAGAGGAGAGAGAGAGAGAGAGAGAGAGAGAGAGAGGGAAGGGGGCUUACCGCUGGUGAGCCGCCGCCGGCGCCGCCGCUGCUGCCUCAGCCGGGGGGGGGUGCGGAAUUAGGGCAAGCGAGGAGAGAUGAGGAGGAGGCUCGUGUGGAGAAAUAUACCCCUACCAGCCAGGUGCCGGUGUAUAGGAUUUUAUGUGGGCCGCCAAGACAUUUUCUACUUGGGCGUCUUGGGCCUUAGUAAAUUAUUAGGCCCCCACAACCAUGACUCUUUCCGCGUAUGGGCCGCUAUCACAUUUUUCUACAGAAGUCAAACAGUAUCAACUUGACCAAAUAUAUGAGAAAUUAGUAAUUGGAAUGCGUCAUUAGUAUCAUCUAUACCUUUUCAGCUUUUUUUGUCUGGAUUCUAUUUCGUCUGACCUCUCUUGGCCUUGUUCGUCUCCUGUUCAUGAAGAACUCAACAGUACAUAGAAAUCGAUAUGGAAUCCACCCUUAUCGUCCUGUAAACAGCCGACCUCGUACCUAAAUCAUCUCAAACCCUAUCAAACAAUAAGGUGGAGGCAAGGCCGAGGAAGGUGGAGGCGGGACGCAGGACAGCAACGACAAAGGUGGCGUCGAGUCUCGAGCACGGACCAUAACAAAGUGGUGCCAUGGAGGUAAGAGUGGUGGCAUGGGAUAGCGAUGGCGAGGUGGCAUUGAGUCGCGAGAUCGAGCCACGACGGUGAGGCUCCUGGAGACACAAAAAAGGGGAAAACAUAGAACAAGCAAUGGAGAAGACCUCGAGAAUCAAACCUUUACUAAAGCCCAUGGGUAAGAAGAAAGUGUCUGACGCAUGAUGGGGGAGAAGAGCUCGAAGGUGGCGCCUGCCGCCUAAACCAACCGAAGCUAAUACCGACGGUGGCAACCAACUCCACUCAAAGCAGGGGAUGGCUCGAAGCAGUGCCAGAUAGCUUGUUUUAAGUUUUUUUUCCAACUAUGCUUCUCCCCACAGCUCCCAUUUGUACCGGGACACUUAAACUGGGUCAAACCAACUUAUUUUGAUGGUGCUUUUCCUUCAUUUAUACAACGUCUUUGAGCACUUCUUCAUGUAGCCAUUUCCAAUGUAAUACUUCUUUACACUGACGUACGUUUAUAGAUUGUAAAUUAUUUGUUUUCUAAGAGUUUGGAGUUCUCAUGUUGUCAUUUGUUUUGAACGGUAAAUUAAGAUUGUAUCAUCUCCAGAUAUUUCCCAUUUACUAUAUAUGCAAAUCUAUUAAAAUAAUACUCUAGUUCAAAACGAAUGGCCCUAAGAGAUAGAACAAUUACAUAAUGCAAUAUAAAUGUCACAUGGACCUAAUAACCCUCAAAAAAGGGGGAAAAAGAGAAAAAAACUACAGCGGACCAUUCGUGUGAUCUAACGAGUAUAAUCUGUGGCGGCUGCUGUCACGUUGGUUAAUGAGAUGCUUUUGAAGGUAGGUAUUUCAAAAUUUUGAAGGUAGGUAAACAACAUUGUUGAACGUUACAUGUUUCUUUGAAGCUAAGCCACAUGGAUGUGCCACUCGACGGAUAAGGCUCUUGUGCUUGCUCCUGUCUUGGUGAAUGUGACCCAUGAUCGACUGGUUCACUAUUUGAGGACUAUUCAUCAAUAAUUGUCUAGCUGAUUAUUCAGUGUUGUCCUAGGUUUAUUAAAUGCAGUUAACUGCUUUAAUUAUUUUUCUGCUGGGACUAAGUACAUAAUGCUCUGCUGCGUGAACCUGUUUUCUAGUAGUAGAGAAUAUAUAUAUAUAUAUAUAUAUAUAUAUAUAUAUAUAUAUAUAUAUAUAUAUAUAUAUAUAUAUAUAUAUAAUGGAGCUCAAUUGUUGUUUGGUAAUAAGGAUAUUCAUUGAAAGACACUCGGCAAAGGUUAGUGCUUUGCCGAGUGUCUUGACUCCGGCACUCGCCAAUGUGGUGGUGUUUCGCGAGUGUUGGAGUCAACGACACUGGGCAAAGAUGGAAGCCGGCCGGCAGUAUAGUGAUCGAUCUUGGGAAUCAUUUCCCAGAUUUACACACAAAGUUAGCUACAAUAUAUAUAUAUAUAUAUAUAUAUAUAUAUAUAUAUAUGACAUCAUGGCCGGCGGAUGGUUCGUGGUAACAAACGUCACAUAUGUUAUAUAAAAAGAAGAGAACAGAGGGACUAGGGCGUUCCUAAAAAAUUUUGCAAAAUUUUUCAGAUUCCCCAUCACAUCGAAUCUUUAUACACAUGCAUAAAGUAUUAAAUAUAGACAAAAAUAAAAACUAAUUACACAGUUUGGUCGAAAUUGACGAGACGAAUCUUUUGAGCCUAGUUAGUCCAUAAUUGGACAAUAUUUGUCAAAUACAAACGAAAAAGCUACAGUAUCGAUUUUGCAAAAUAUUUUGGAACUAAACAAGGCCUAGUACAGUAGUACUCCUACUACACAGUAGUGACAUGGCACCAGCAGUAGUACCGGCAGCAGUCAGCAGUCAGGGUCCUUUACAUGUCAGCUACCUAGCUUUUUUCGUUGGAUCCUAUAUAAAGGAACGUCUAGCGCGCAAGCUAGCGUAACAAAUUGUAGGUAGCUGCAAAAUCAUAACCUACCUCCGAUGGGAUACAAAUUUUUUCUUGCCAAAACAUAAACUGUCGUUGGCACGUCUGCUGAUGGCGAAACCCAAUAGUAAUACCUUUUAUAAUUUGUAGCUAGUAGUCUUGCACGGUUACACCCAAAUCCGCACGUCAGCAUAAAAUAUUGUCCAACCUACCGCCAUCUCUUCCCCCUCCUCGUCUUCUUUUCUUGGUCCCCGCUAGCUGCAAACCAUGCGGCAUGCAUGCAAUUGCGCCCAUGCACGGUUUCCUUAGCCUGAAUUGAAGCCCUGAACAACAACAACAACAGGCAGCAGCAUCUGAGCUGAGCAACUUGGAGAUACACUGACUAGCCCACCAUACCAUCAUGAUGGCCACCAACUUCCUCAAGACGUACCAGCACCAUCUCCACCACCACCACGACAACAAGCCGCAGUUCCCCCUUCCCAAGAAGAAGUUCGUCACCUACGCCGUCUACGCCCUCAUCGCCGUCGUGCUCCUCUACCUCUUCGUCGACCCAGCAGCAGCUCCGCCUGCUGCGGCACCAUCUGCUGCCACCACCAAGCCAUCAUCACUGGUGGAGGAGGAGCGGCCGGCGGCGACGCCGCCUUCUUAUUACCAAGGACGACAAGCAACAGGAGGACACCGACACGCCGCCGCCGAUGAAACAUCAUCGCGGAUCAUCAGUACUGCCACUGCACCGCCACCGCCACCGUGCGACUACUCCGACGGCGAGUGGGUGCCGGACGCACGCCCGCCGCUCUACAACGGCACGACCUGCGGCGCCAUCAAGGACGACGGCCGGAGCUGCACGUUGAACGGGCGCGCGGACACCGGGUACGUCUACUGGCGGUGGCAGCCGCGGGGGUGCCACCUGCCGGACUUCUCCGCCGCCGACUUCCUCCGCUGGCUCCGCAACCGCCACAUGGCCUUCGUCGGCGACUCGUUGGCGCGCAACCAGGCGGAGUCGCUCGUGUGCCUGCUCUCCUCGGCGUACGAGCCGGACCUCGUCCACCGCAGCGCCGACGGCAGGUUCCGGCGCUGGGUGUUCCGCGACCACAACGCCACCGUCUCCAUCUUCUGGUCGCCGUUCCUGGUCAGCGGCGUCGAGAAGUCGGAGCGCGACGGCGUGCGCUACAACCAGGUGUUCCUCGACGCGUUCGACGAGCGCUGGAUGUCGGAGCUCGCCGCCAUCGACGCCGUCGUGAUGUCCGCCGGCCAGUGGUUCCGGAUCCCUAGCGUCUACCACGAGGGCGGCAGAGUCGUCGGCUGCCACGGCUGCGACGCGGCGGAGUUCAACGGCACCGGCGCCGUCGCCGAGGUCAGCUUCUUCCGCGCGUUCAGGGACGCCGUCCGACGGACGCUCGCCGAGGCCGCGCGGCGGCAUCACGAGCAGCACAGCGACGGCGUCAAGCUGGUGGCGAUGACCACGUUCUCGCCGUCGCACUUCGAGGGGCAGUGGAACGAGGGCGCGCCGUGCAAGAAGAAGGCCGACAGGGAGCUGGGGUACACCGAGACGGAGAUGAGGAAGAUCGUCGUGGAGGAGCUGGAGAAAGCGUCGUCGUCAUCGUCGUUGUCGUCGUCGUCGUCGACUUCCCUGCGGUUCGCCGCAGUGGACGUGACGGCGCUGGCCAACCUGCGGCCGGACGGCCACCCGGGGCCGUACAUGCGCAAGAACCCGUUCGCCGCCGGCAACACUACGGGUGGCCGGCCGCCGGUGCAGCACGAUUGCUUGCACUGGUGCAUGCCCGGGCCGGUCGACACGUUUAACCAGAUACUGCUCCAAACCAUCCUCCGCUAGCUCAAACGCUAUAUAUAUUUGCUAGCUCGAUCUUGCAUGUGUUCACUUCGUCCACGAUCUGCAUGAGAAACCGAUCGAUGCUGACUGUAUAUACUGCAAGUUUGUGAAACAUUUACUUUUAUGUUGAAAAGUUUUGUUUUAAAAAUUUAACGAGCCCUCAACAAUUACCACCAUAGCUUACAAUAUGUAGCAACAGACCCUAGAUAAUUCAGCCAUGCAUGUACAGCAACUAUAUCACAAUUAUUACAACAAUAAUUCUUAUCUACAUACAAAACUAACUACAUGGUGGCCAAACUAACCAUGAGCUUGGAACUCUAGCAUCCUUAUUAGCUCUCUUCUCAUCCAUGCAUCCUCUCUCAACUCUUCUCGCAUCCAUCUCAACUCCUAUAUAUGUAGCCAGCCGAUCAUGCCUACCCAGCAAUGAGGUGCCGCAGAAUCUUCAAAAACUCAUUGUCGUCGAUUCCCUCCAACACCAAAAUGCUCCGUUGCUGCCACCUCUUCACACGGGUUGUUCGCCGUCCACACAUGCAGGCCUCGUUGAUCUAUUGUCCACGCUGGCACUGCCACGUAAAGCGGAAGGCAUCUCCGAAGGGUUAUUGACACAGUCUACAGUGCAUGACUUAACAAGUUUAGCUAGAGAACCAAACUUUGACUUUGAGAGUUUGUAGAUCUAAGUAGCACAUAGUCACAAAUUUAAGGACAACCAAUGUCGUAUUUGUCAUUUGAACUCUUAAUACUUCCUCCGUUGCAGAAAGUAAUAUAAUUUUAGGUUUUACAUAGGCCAGACUUUUUUAGGUAUAGUUAAGUUUAAUGAAAAUAGUAUCAAAUUCACUAUAAAAAUAUAUUUUAUAUUUAAUAUAAUGAUAUUUUACUUUGUAUCAUAAAUUUUAGGUAUUUUUUCAUAUAUAAUUAGUCAAACUUUACAUUGCUCGACUCUUAUAAAAGUGUGAAUUACUUUUUUUUUUUGGACAAAGCAAAUAAUUUAUUGACAUUUGGGUAGAACUCUAGCUAGAUUGUUUAAUAUAUUAUUAGCAUAACAUGAAAUAUAUAUGUAGCCUAAUUAUUAUCUCUUUCGUACGUGAUAUCAUUUCAAAAAUGUCAAGUCACAGGGACUGCCCCGCGCGCACUAAAUACAAUGACAAAACUGCAAAAGCACUUAAACCACCCAGUACUAAUAAUGUCCUUACCCUCGUCUAAUUUGGAAGUUUAGUUGCACGUACUGUGCUGUGGGUGGGGUCAGGAAUGCACUAAAGUGUGUCCCGUUUCGUGGUCACUUUGAGGGUAAAAGAAAUAUUUGAAAGGUUAAGUGCUCCUACUCCCAACAGAAUUUCGUGUAGGAACGAUGUUUGCUUGAAAAAUGACCCGCUACCCACUAAUAUAGAAAUUAUUUCUAGAGUUGAGUUAUCUUGUUUUACUUGUUAUUGAAAUGUUAAUAUGAUAUUCAUUUUUGUUUCCUGUGCACAUAGCGAAUGUCCAACUCUAUCCUCACAUAUGAAUAUGGAUCAGGAAGCUCUUGGUGUUUAAGUUAUUUUUGUUAAAUUGUGAAACUAUUGUAUGGAUCUGUCUUACUAGAGAAGUACAUAACUGUAUAACUAAGGCCUUGUUUAGUUCCGUAAAUUUUUUGGUUUUUAGAAUUGUAGUAUUUUUGUUUUUAUUUGGCAAUUAUUGUCUAAUUAUAGAUUAACUAGACUCAAAAGAUUUAUCUCGUGAUUUACAGGCAAACUGUGUAAUUAGUUUUUAUUUUCGUCUAUAUUUAGUGUUUCAUGCAUGUGCCGCAAGAUUCGAUGUGACGAGGAAUCUUGAAAAGUUUUUGGUUUUUGGGUAAACUAAAUAAGGCCUAAAGUAAUGUACAAUGCAGGAGCUAAGGUUAUCGAGGGUGAUUGCAUGCAUCUCUAUGUUAUUCCAUCUGUAUCUAUUGUGCAUCCUCGCUGUUGGUUUGGAUGAUUCAUCAGACAUACUGCUAUUAUUGUUGUUUGUUUUGUUUGAAUUUUGGAUUUUCCUGUAUGAAAUUGAAGCGUAAUGGACGGUUCUUUUAACUUCAUUAUUAUAUUGUUAUAUUUUUAUGAGCCUUUCCUUUUAUUUUUCUGAAUGGUAUUUGCAUUUUUCAGAAUUUUAAUUACCAUAACUUCAUGGUCAAAAUUCAGAUUAUUUAUUUGGUAGCGAUCUUUAUUUAAAAUUAGCUAAUACAAGCACCUGCAGGCAUGUUAUUUAAUACAAUCACCGGCAGCACCUUUCAGGCAUGAAGCACACAAACCCCAGCAGCACCUUUCCAGGCAACAAGCAAACAAACCAGUUUAUACAAGAGUAAAAUCCACCGUCGGUCCUUGAACUUGGCUGGCGGUGUCAUUUAGGUCCCUAAACUUCUAAAGUGAUAUCUAUGAGUCCAUAAACUUGACAUACGGUGUCAUCUAAAUCCCUAAACUUUCAAGGUAAUCACCACAUGUCUCUAAACUUGGCCGGUGGUGUCAUUCCAGUCCCUGAACUUUCAAGGUCAUGACUGCAGGUCCCUAAACUUGGCAAGCGGUAUCAUUCUUGUCCAAAUAUGGUCUAACCUACUCUAUAAGUUGUUAUGUGUAAAUUAAUCAAGCAUUAUUUAUCUAAUAUUUAUCAUGAAAAUAUAAAUUAUAUAAAAUAAUUUAUAUCAACAAAAAAUAAAUUAAAGUGUCAAAAUAAUUUACACCAACAAAUAUAUUAGGUUUAAAUUGAAGUAUAAAAAUAGUAAAAUUAAUUAAAUAUUUAUAUAUCAUUGAUAGUAUUACAAAAUAAUAUUAAAAUUCCUAUAUAUAGUAUUAAAAGUUUUCUCUAUUAAAAGUUACUUCUAAUUUUAGUAUUAUUUUUAAAAUUUUAAUAGUGUUAUUAUAAAAGUAACUUUUCUCUGUUAUUAAUAUUAUCACAUUAUUAUUAAAUAUUUUAAUACCAUAAUACUACUAUUAAAAGUUUUAAUACUAUAAUACUACUAUUAAAGGUUAACUUUUCUCUGUUAUUAAUACUAUCACAAUAUUAUUAAAUAUUUUAAUACCAUAAUACUACUAUUAAAGUUUUAAUACUAUAAUACUACUAUUAAAUGUUACUUCUAUAAUAACAUUAUUAAAAGUUUAAAAUAAUACUAAUAUUAGAAGUCACUUUUAAUAGAGAAAACUUUUAAUACUAUAGGAAUUUUAAUAUUAUUUUGUAAUACUAUCAAUGAUACACAAAUAUUUAAUUAAUUUUACUAUUUUUAUACUUUAGUUUAAAGCUAAUAUAUUUGUUAUUGUAAAUUAGUUUAAUACUUUAAUUUGUUUUUUAUUGAUGUAUAUUAUUUUAUAUAAUUUAUAUUUUCCUGAUAAAUAUGAGAUAAAUAAUGAUUGAUUAAUUGACACAUGUUGGAUUCAUGUUAGCUUAUAUAGAGUAGGUUAGACUAUGUUUGGAUAGGGAUGAUACCACUUGCUAAGUUUAGAGACAUGUGGUGAUCACUUUGAAAGUUCAAGGACUAGAAUGACAUCACUGGCCAAGUUUAGGAACAUGUGGUGAUUACUUUGAAAGUUCAGGGAUCUAAAUGACACAAUCUGCCAAGUUUACAGACUCACAAAUAUCACUUUAGAAGUUUAGAGACCUAAAUGACACCGCCGCCCAAAUUCAAGGACCGGCGGUGCAUUUUGCUCUUUAUACAACGACCCGCUUCAUUAACUAUAUCAAUUCUAUGUUCCACCAAUCACGUGGAUUUGGCACAAGCUAGCGUGGAUUGGGUGGAUGGAAGGGGAUUAACGUAUGUAAUCCACGGGUGGAGCAGGUCACACGCAUUUUGAAUACACAAUCAUCCAAACAAAUUAAUUCUAAUUAUUCUCUCUCUUUCGUACUUGAUACCAUAUUAAAUAUGUCCACUAGAUACAGCAAUGACAAAACUGCAAAAGCACUUAGGGCCAGUCUCAGUGGCUCGUUUCAAUGCUCUGUUUCCAAAACAAAUCCGCUGACAGGGCAUCAAUGAAACGAAUAAUGAAACAACCUCCACAAUGCAUGAGUUUCACCUUGACGUUUCCUAGGCUGGGCAAAGCAUUUAAUUACUGCAAAAUGAUUGGAUCACAUACAAGAUGGUGAAACGAUUUAGCCCUCAGUGGGGAUUUCAUCCCGUUUCAUCGCAUGGGAAACAACGCCCGCGAGGUUUCACCAUGGUGAAACUACUUCCUUAUCUCUCCUCUUCGUUUCAUGCAAAAGGUAAAAUUUUGCUGACAUGGCACUAUAAUAAAUAUGCAUGAUAUCUUGAUGAAACCUCCACUGAGACUGGCCUUAAACCACCCAUUAUUAAUUAACGACGUCCUCACACUCGUUUAAUUUGGAAGUUUAGCUGCACGCGUACUGCAAGCCUACUACUUACUCCAUCUGUUCUGAAAUAGAGUGUAUUCUGGCAUUUGAAAGGUGUCUCCAAAUAUAAUGUAUUUGGGGGAAAAAAGAUAAUAUUUACUUAAAUAAAAAUACAACUUGGAUUACACUUUUUAAUCAUGUGGAAUAGGAUCAAAUUUCAAUAAUUUAGGAAGUUAAAUAAGGGUACAUGUGUCUAUUGCUCUCUCUCUUAUUUUGUCUGAAAAUAGACACAAUACAUUAUAUUUUAGAACGGAGGGAGUAAUUAUCAUGUGGACGGUGUGGGUUUCAGAAUAGACUAAUAAAGUGUACGUGUCCCGUUUCGUGGUCACUUGGGGUUAAAUAAAUACUUGAAACUUAGGAAGUUAAAUAAGGGUACAUGUGUCUAUUGCUCUCUCUCUUAUUUUGUCUGAAAAUAGCCACAAUACAUUAUAUUUCAGAACGGAGGGAGUAAUUAUCAUGUGGACGGCGUGGGUUUUAGAAUAGACUAAUAAAGUGUACGUGUCCCGUUUCGUGGUCACUUGGGGUUAAAGAAAUACUUGAAACUCUAUUUGAAAGGUUAACGGCACCUACUCCCAACAGAUUUCUAUAGUUGUAUUUUCUCUUAGCCACGGUUGGAUACAGAACUACCCUUAAAAAAUGGUUUUCAUUAGCCCUCUAUAUAUCGCAUAACAACCUAGAGGCUGCUGUAAUGUGACUUGUCUCUAAAAGUAAAUGCAAAACAAAUAAUCAUAAUAUUAUUCAAAUGAACUUUAUACAUUAUUAAAGCUGCAGAAUUCGAAGGGAUGUACAUGGUUUUGUAGUUGAUGGCCUUUUAUCCAAAAUAGCUUAGGGUCCCAAGUAUGUAUAUGUUUUGAAUUCUUAGGUUAAUUGAUUUUUUUUUUCAAACGACAUUCAAUGGAGACCCGCUCUAUAUCGAAGUUAUAGUGCACAAUAUCUAAAGCAUCGUGGUUCAAACUAGUUUCAUCCGAAAUCAUUUAGACAUUGAAAUUUUCAAUACAAGAUUUGUAAAAAUAAUAAUAUAGAAACAUAGCAUCCUACACUUGCCACAUAUAUGUUAGUGUAUGAUACAGUGGUAGUAGGGUGCUCUCGGCAAGCAGAGCACACUAGCGAACGAAUAAUAGUAACAUAUAAAGUUAAUAUAUUGUUAUUAUAAAGGUUUCAUAUUAGAAGAAUCCUGGGAAUAAUUAGAAUAGAGUAGUUCAUCUUAGAAGAAAGUACCAACAUGUAAAUUUAAUAUAUAGUAUAUUAGUUCGGCAGAAAGUAUUGUUGGCUGAUUUGUUGUGAGAGAAAAAUACUGUUGAAUAACUGAUAUAUUUGGCUGAUAAGCUCAAACGAAUAAUAUAGGCGUUUUGCCUGAUGAAGUUACAUCCUAUGAUGAUUUAGAUUUUGCAACAAUUGCAUCAAAACAAUAGAAUUCGAAAUGCCGAGUUCUUCUUUAUGCAUUUUUUUAAAGGCAGGACAAUUAUUAGUCUAUUUUUCAGAUAUAAAUAUUAUGUGCAAAAACUGCGAGCUUGUGACUAGUGUGUAGGCCUUGCGUUUUCUAAAAAGAGGCCGGAGGCUUAGGUAGAGUUGCACCGCGCGCCUACCACCCCUCGAGCCAUUUUUGUCUAUUUUUUUUUAAAAAAAAUCCCCGCAUAGGAAUGUACUUGAUUUGUGUUUGAAUAUAUAUGGGACAAGCUAGAGAUGUAGCGAUCACAUUAUAUUAGUCAUGAUUAUAUCAUUUCUUGUUAUUAUGAUAUAUCAUAGAUUUCUUGUAUUUAACAUGGCAUCACUUCAUCAAUCAUCCUACUAUAGACUCGUGAGUGGAGAGAAGGGGGCCUUCUUAUUAGGCUCGACAACCAUAUGAUGGGCCGCCAUCGUGGUUGGAUUGGAGGCCUUAUUGCUGCCGGCUAACAACGGUAUGUACUCCUUGGAAAGAAGCAUAUUGGAAGCAGAUGGAGGCAGCUGAUAGUGAAUUUUAUAGUAUACUCCUAUAGUACCCGUAAAGAAAGUUAUUUUGGGCAAAGUUUAAGUCAAAUAUUGAAAAUAUAAAUCAUGAAUAACUUUUAAGUUGUUGAGUUUCGAAAUAUCAAAACCAUACGAAUAGAUAUAUCUUGGAAAAUACUUCUAUAAAAAUAUACAUAUAUCAUAUUUUGAUAAAUAUUUUUAUAAAAAUAAAGAGUCAAAGUUAGACUUUGAAAACCGUGUCAUUGUCCUAAACGACUUUUUUUUAUGUAUGGAGGGAGUAUUAUAUAAAUGGAGAUAGUUAACAGUGAAUAAAGCAGAUGGGAGCAGAAACAAUAUAUUUUUAUUUUUUUUCCCCGAUCCGAUCAAAUGUGAUGCUUGAUUCACUUCCUACGCCGAUUGGAAGGCGGAGGCAGAUUUCCGACCUUCGGGUGCUGGAUCAACGUGGCAGAUCUCCGACCACCGGCUCGACGUGUGCAAAGGCAAAUACUGUUGGCUGAUUUGUUGUAAGAGAAAAAUACUAUUGAAUAGCUGAUAGAUUCGGUUGAUAAGCUGAAGCGAACAGGGGCGAAGCAGCGUGGAGCUCUGUGGCAGCAAAAGGAGUUUUUUUUCUACAAAAAGGAAAUAGACAGAAAAAGGAGCUAGGAAGGCAGAAGGCUUCAGUGUGUGAUUUUUUUUAUUCUGAUGUGAGACCCAUAUUACUUCCUUUGGUUGGAUUUGGAUUGGAUUACGUGGCUAUACACGAGUUCUUCCGUGCGAUUGCAGAUGCUCUAGUAUAUUUAGGCCUCCUUUAGUUACAAAAAUUUUUGUAAAAUGGAUACUAUAGUAUUUUUGUUAGUAUUUAACAAAUAUUGUUUAAUUAUCAACUAACUAGUUUUAAAAGAUUCGUCUCGUAAAUUAAGGUAAAUUAUAUAAUGAGUUAUUUUUUAUCUAUAUUUAGUGCUCCAUGCAUGUUCCGCAAGAUUCGAUGUGAUAAGAAAUCUUAAAAAAAUUUUGCAAAAAGGAACUAAACAAGGCCUUAACAACGGUAAUUAGAAGAUCGAAACAACAGUAAAUCAUCGCAACAGCCUGUUUUGGAACUCUGUUAAUGCUUGUUCAUCAUCUCACUCAGCCUCUGAAUGAGUAAAAAUGGAGCAUCUAUAAUCUAUCUAUUCCUUCCUUCCUUGAUGUACACAAAGAAAGAAUAGGGCCGAUACCAACUAGGUGCAGAGCUGGUUGCAGAGGUCGUUGAUCCUGUCCUGCGACGCGUCCGCGGCCGACGCCACGACGUACGUCUGGUUCUUGCCGCCGGCGCAGACGACGGUGAGCGUGUUCUCCUGCAGCGUCCCCGUGCACGUGGUCGGCGACGCGUCGCACUUCCACCGCUUGGUGGGGACGCAGCUGAGGUAGUGGCACCACGGGCAGUGCUCGUUCGCGUUGUACCCACGGAACAGCAGCACGGUGGCCACCGUGAACCCGACGACGAGCAGCACGGCGGCGGCCAGCCACAGCACGUACUGGUACGUCUUGUGCUUGCGCUUCACCGAGACAACCGGAGGAGGAGUAGGCGCCGCCGCCGGUGGUUGCCCGUCAGGCUGUGCUGCUGCUGAUACUCUUCUGUGCUGGGUGAGCCAGGCGAACUGCGGGCGGAUGAAGAAGACGAAGCCGAGGAGGAAGCCCGAGAUGAGGCCGCCGAUGUGGGCGAAGUUGUCCACCCGGGGGAGGAGCCCCAGCGCCAGGUUCACCACGAUCACCAGCACCAGUGUUACCAACGCUGCCACCUGAAUGAAUGAAUGAAGAAUUACAUACAGAUACAGCAAAGGCUCUUUUUGCAAAAGAUGAAGAUUAAGCUCAUGGAAAUGCAUGUAUAUGUAUACCUUGUUUGCGUAGAGUGACCAGUUUGUUAUGAGUUCAGAGAGCAUGGAUCCAAUGAGGCCGAACAGAGCACCGGAGGCCCCAACGGAGACGUUGGACUGUAUGAAAAGAGCAGACAUGAGGCUCCCGCCAAAACCAGAGAUGAGGUACACCAGGCCGAUCCUCACUGCAUAUUGCAUUGCAUCAUAGGCAUAAGUACUCGGCUGAAAUGAAAAUAUAUAUGUUCCUUUUUUUUCUGUUUGGCGAACAGAUUCGCGGAUUUUCUACUGAAAGUUAUCAAUUUAUCAGCAUCUUGGAUGCAUAACGGAGUUCCAAGUGUGACUGAAAAGAAUGCAUCUGAAGUGCUAGUUUAUUAAGGCUUUAAGCGAAGUUGGAAUGAAUAGUGGAUUCAAUAAUUCAAAGACAGUAAUAUGUAUGAUCUGAUUACUUACCAAACCCGAAUUCUUGCUCUAGGCGUAUGCCGAUGAUGACGAGGCAGAGCAUGUUGAUGAGGAGAUGAACAACUCCGGCGUGGAGCCACAUGCAAGUGAUCAGACGCCAUCCUUGGCGGCCAUGGACGACCUUAGGCACAUCGAGAGCCCCCAUCUUCACUAACCUGGCAUUGACAUUGAGAUGAAAAUAUAUAAUUAUAUUGUUUUCACUUUAGCCUCUGAUGAGUACUGUACCUGAACGUACUGGUGGUAUCACAAGAAAUGAAAUCUUCUUUUUUUUUCCAAGGAAAAAAGGAGUGAAGUGAAAUUGUGAAAGUGAAACUCUAAUUUUUAUGUUGAGGUGAGAAAUGCAAUAUGUGGUCAUCCACCUACUCUUCUUUGACUUUGCAAUGUGCCUUUUGUAGUCUAACGAAGAUAUCAGCACGCGUACAGAGAAUAGAAAAAUGGACAGGGAAAUUUGAAUCCUCCUGCAGCUAGCUAGCGUUCACCAAAUCAGGCAGCCAUAAGUGGCCAAUCAAAGAUACAGCAGUAAUUAAUUAGAUAACAGAACUGGUACCGACUCCAAAGAUUAAUUUUGUGGUCAGAGAGAGUGUGUGUGUGUGAGAGAGCUAGCUAGACACGCCAUACAUUUAACAUUUUGGGUUGGUUGGUUGACAAAUCAAACCGGCCAAAGCAAUUGCGGCUUGCUUUGCACAAUGUCUAUGCUUCAUCAGUAACUGUCUGUCAGUUUCAGAGGAGGGCGUACAUCGGCGUGGCCCAAAGUCAAAUGACCAACUCAGCGAGGAAACUAGGGCUUUGCACAGAGCAGAACUGAACAGGGGCAUGCAAUGCAAUGAAAUGCAAUUUGACAGACUGAACUCUGCUGAUUGCUUCUUGGGUGUGCCCAUACGUACUACAAGUAUAUACCAUCAUGAUGAAUAAUCUGUAGGAUUUGCUGGUUGAUGCUUGCUUGUGCUAGCAAACCAAAUGGUUUGCAGUUUGCCAAAACUCCCCCUUUGCAAUUUAAUUAACAGGGCCCAGGCAUUGUAGUUGUAGCCGGCCGGCCAGCACCAAGUAAAAGUCUUAUUAGUUUUUUACAGAUACAUCUAGUAAAGUUGUCAUGUUUGGUAUUGCCAGAAUGAAUAAUCAUGUUUCAACACAAGUAGCCUAGGAAGAAUAUGAUAUAGUAGGAUGGUGCAAGCAAAGCAACCAUGGCACAGCUAGCAUUGGAAUUUGGAAUGGAAUGGAAGAAAGAAACAAGGACAGAAAAGAAAGCAAGCGCGUGGUGUGUACGUACGUGGCGGAGGAGGGACCGAGGAGCGGGUUCUCGCGGAGCGGCUGGAAGGCGAAGCGGCCGAGGAAGCCGGCGGCGCAGUUGGAGUUGGAGUUGUGGCGGGGGCAGUCGUUGACGUACAUGGUGACGAGGAAGAUGGCGACGCAGGCCGCGGUGGCGGCCGAGACGAGCCACGGCGACCAACGCCGGUAGUAGGGCCGCGCCCUGAUCACCUGCUGCUGCCGGUGGUGGUUGUGCGGAUGCCUGGCGGCGGCGGCGGCGGCGGCGCUGGUGCUACUGGUAGGCAAGGAGGAGGAGGAGGAGGCGCCAUGCUGCCGGUGGGAGUGGGAGUGGCCGGACAAGGAGGAGGGCCGCUCCACUAGCACCUGCACGUCGUCCUCGCCGCCGCCGCCGCCGCCCGCGGGCUUCAUGGAUGGAUGCGUCGGCGGCGGGCGGUGGUGAGUUAGUCGUGCAACGGCGGCAGGCAGGGCCGGCCGGCGAUGGUGGACGGAUCUGUUUGUUGUUAGUUGUGCUGAUAUGAUGGAUGGCUGGUUGGGAUUGAUGAUUAAUUGUUGGAGAAGGCAAGAACAAGAUAAUUGAUGGAUGGAAUUGGGCGGCCGGCUGGCCGGCGUUGGAAAAGGGAAAAGGGGGGGGGGGGGGGGGGGGGCGGGAGAGCGUGAGGAGGAAGGACACGAAUCACUCGGAUCGAUCUGUAGCCUUGCCUGCCUGCCUGCCUGCUGGAAGGAAAGGAAAGGAAAUAAGGAAGGAAGGCGUAGCAGAGGAGGAAGCAGGGCAGCUGCGCAGGUGAGCUAGACAAGACAGACUGCAGGAGCAGGAGAGAGCCACAACAAGGAAAAGAACAUUUGACAGUCUCUCUCAUAACAAAUCAACGAAUAGUUAUAGCUUUUUAGAUAAGAGGAUAAGUGAAUAGGCGGCUCGAAGCUUUUCUUCCUUCCUCUGAGACCUUGACAGACUGCUUCUUCAAUUCCGUGAUUGAUUGCUUCCUUGUGUUACUCCUGUAUAUAUAUAUAUAUAUAUAUAUAUAUAUAUUCACCCAAAAAUAGGAGUAUACAUACAAUUGCUGCAAGAUUUUAGUAUUUUACAAGAAGAAACCAUACACAAGGAAAUUAAUUAAUUGAUAUAAAAUGGAAGGGGAUUGGUAAAGAAAAAGAAAAAGAAAAGAAAAGAAAGAAAAAGCCAACUGCCCUUCAAUCUCAACUGCAAAGACAAAGAUUGGGUGUGGAGAGGACCGGUGGCGUAGGUGGCCUGCCAUGCGCCCAUGCCACCUGCCAUUAGAUGACCAAAUCAGUGUCCCGGACCAUCAGUAGUCGGGCCGAUACUACAUGUCUAUUAGGGCGUCCGCAUGAUCUGGUGGUCAGAGCGUGGGCCUAGAGAACAAACAGAAGAAGUGAUGCACCGAGCUCGCAAUAUUAAUCCGGAAGCAAGGUGAGACCUAACGCAUACAAAGUAGUAAAAUCACGGAGAGAGAAAUAAGCUUAAGUAGUAAAAUCACAGAGAAAGAAAUAAGCUUGUUGUCCACAUCUUAUUUUUCUAUUCCUUCUUACCCGAAAGUAAGACUACUCCCCGGUAGUAGUUGUUGCCGAUGCGCACAAUACUUUCUCCCGGUAGUAAGGUUUUGUUUAUUCCUUUUUACCCCCUUCUUACCUCCCAUUGCGAAAGCCCUUAUCAUUAGUCGUGCAGUAUCAUCGUGCCUGUCUUUUUCCAUAGGCCCUGCUGCCUUUGGCACAAGCAAGGAACAACGUUAGCCUUACCGAGUCGACCCAUGGCUACACAACCAUCCCGCGCUAUAGCAUGUAUUUGGUAGGGCUCCUUCAGUCUCCGGCUCCUCGCUACAGUCCUGGCUUUCAGUUCAUUUUGAUUGAAGAAAGGAAAACGACUCCUAUUAAGAGGAGUUGAAUCCAUGAAAAGCUUUACUAAACACGCCCAUAAUUCUACUACGCCUUUUAGAGUCGUAGAGACCUGCAAGCAAAGAAAUAAGUAAGGUUGUACAUAGACUCUCAGAUUUUUUUUGUUAAAAAAAUGCAACUCUAGGACGGACAUUCAUUCAGAAGGUAGGCCUCUCACGUCUGCCGCAUCCUAUUCGAUUAUACUAGGGCCUUGUUCAAUCGACAAAUUUUUGGAAUUUCAGGUACAACACUUUUGUUUGUAUUUAAUAAAAGUAUUAUCUAAUUAUGGACUAACUAGACUCAAAAGGUUUGUAUCAUAAAUUAUAGGCAAACUGUAUAAUUAGCUUUUAUUUUUGUCUAUAUUUAAUACUCCAUGUAUGUGCUAUAAGAUUCGAUGUGACGGAGAAUCUAAAAUUUUUGGCAGAACUUUUUGGGAACUAAACAAGACCUAGGGCCAUUUAGAAUUAACUGACUUGGGCUAUGUUCCUUCAUUCUGCCUGCGCUACAAGCCAUCGUUUCAUAGGCUCAGUCCUGAUAUUCACCUCCACCCAAUUAAUAUCACCCUGAAAAAACCAAUUAGCAUCUUUAUAACUACACUCAUUUCCUUCCACUAAAAAAAACUACACUCAUUUCCUUAUUCAUUAUAUUUAUUUAUUUAUCAAUUUCUUUACUUUCAAGUAGUUCAUUGGUUUAUUCGACUCUCUGUUGGCACGGGUUUUGUCCACCAGAUGUUCCUUCAAUUGGUGCUAUAUCUUAUUGCUAAAAACAUGUAGUUUUUGCGGCCUUCAAAACCUUAUAGAGCAAGAGUGUUUGUAGUUGUUCAUUUCCUUUGUCGCCUUUUCAAUCAAAUAUAAAAAAGAAGGCCAGUUUGAUCUGUGAUGUAUCAAGGUAUCAUUCUCUUGACCUAACUACUACCUUCCUUGAUAAAUUGGAUGAGAUACUAUGAUCCUAGACUAUUAGUCUUUUUUUGAUAUCUUCUCAACCAUGUGCGUCUUUAGAUCAGCGUCAAUCCAGGCUUAUAGGUUGGAGCAUUUGUACGUUCAAAAAACCAAAGAUUGUGGUACUAGGAUACCUUUCAAAGAAUUCGCUUUGGUUAUCCAUGGACCAAAGAGCAAAUAUUUAUUGCAUAUUAGUCAAUGGAUAGAGACUCAAUUGUAAGUUACCUGGUUUUCUUUGCUUCCUGGUUUCGCUUAUAUAUAUAUAUAUAUAUAUAUAUAUAUAUAUAUAUAUAUAUAUAUAUAUAUAUAUAAUAUAUAUAACCAUUAGGAGACAACUAACCCCUUCUGAUUCCUUUACAGUUCACAAAAUACGCUUAAAACAGAGCUAUCCAUUUGACAUGAUAACAAAAAAGGGGGGACCGGUUCACUCGCUGUCUCAGCAGAGUCAAUAACACAACAUUGAUUCUCAUCUAGUAGCACGUAAAAAGUUCAAAGCUGCUACUGAAGCAGUGUCUACCAACAACUUCUGAUGACGACAAUUAUAAACCAUCAACCAUGCUGAUUUACUCUUUACUCCCAUCCAGUAGGUGCCGCGGCAGGGGCAGUGCCUUGUUCCCAUCCGGUGGCUGCUGGAGGAGCCGCAGCUGCAUCCCAGACACCAUCAGCAGGAGGAGCUGAAAUUCACAAGCAGAAUUGUAAGAGCCACAGGUGUAUGAAACUAAACAAGCAGAUAAUAACCAGAUAACAAAGAUAAAAGAAACAAGCAAAUGUGAACAAACAUUAUUGAGUAUACUAUACAGCGAUCUAAAGCUUCAACACAGUUACCCAUAAAAUCCUAUAUAUCAAAGGGCAACUUGUGAUAAAAAAAAGUCCACUGAAUUUUAAGCAAUGCUAGAAAGACAUAUUAUCACCUUCCAGCUUUAGACACAAUAGCAAGCUACUUCUAGGCACACAAAAGGUAUCAACUAUCAAUCAAUUAAACAUUGUACCCUAGACAAACCAAGCAUGAGAUUGAAUGACUCAUUUUUAAAUGCAAAUCAUAUAUUAUUAUUUGAAGAGCAACUGGACCUGGAGCAGCAGCCCAGUCUGCACCAGCAGCUGGAAUGCCAGCAGGCGCAGCUGCAGCUUCACCAGUUCCCCAAUCAGCGCCCCAGUUGUCAGUCCCUGGAGCAGUAUAUUCUGCAACUGCGCCAUAGUCAGGAGCAACCAGAGCCUCUUCUUCCUCCUGCUCCUUUGCUUCCUCUGGGUCUCUGUAGAAGAAAAGGUCAACCUGCAAAAGAGAAACAAGCAUAUGAUUCAAGAAGCGACAAAAAGCAAAUGCCCUUGUUUAUACAGGUCAGAAAUUGUUAGCAAUGGCACUAGUUCAGAUCAUAUCAAUUUACCAUGAUGUCCCACUUGUGUCCUGGAAGAAUUGUACCACGCAUCUGGAGGACCAUUCUGGCAAGCAGCCAGAACAGACAGCCAAUGCUCUGUUUCCCCUUGUUAUUGGCAGGAAUGCCAAUAUCAACAUAGCGCAUAGGGGAGUCAGUGUCGCAGAAGGCAAUAGUGGGAAUGUUUCCAAGUGCAGACUCCUUAAUGGGCUGUACAAAGUUUGACAAACAAGAUUUGUAAGUGCUCUGAACCAAUCAACAAAGUAAAUAUCUCUUUCAGCAGAUAUAGGUUUACCUGAUGAUCAGUCCUGGGGUCAGUGAGGAUAAGAAGGCGUGGCUCACUGAAUGAGGUUUGCAACUGGUUGGUGAAUGUACCAGGAGUGUGCCUGCCGGCAAUGGCGUGAGCACCAGUGUACUGCGCAAACUUGAGCACAGCCCUCUGGCCAUAGGGCCUAGCAGACUGCACUAUGAUAUCUUGGGGGUUUUCAAUUGCAACGAUGACCCUCGCGGCCAACUGUAGCUUCUCCCAGGUCUUCCCAAGGUUAAUAAUGUAGAUACCUGAAUGAAGGAAAAUAUACAACAGCACUAUUGUUAAUUCAAAGGGAAUUGAUCAGCAUAAGCAACUUGAGUUAGCACUGAAGUACUAGACAUUCUUCCCAUGAUUCCAGUGAAACAAACACAACAACAUAGACAUACGUUGAUCCUUUAAUUUUGAUAGAAUCUAGUCUGAACCAAUCCCACGGCUCAUAUUUAUGGUAUGACAUUGAGACGAAUAACACUUGUAAUGUCGCAGCUAGACCUACCUUACACGUAUGUGUAUCACACACUCCAGAAAGCCUCCAAAAUCUUCAUGCUAGACAAAUCGACCAUGCUGGAGAAGUAAUACUAAAGCAGACUACGCACAUAGGAGUAUGUGUAUCACACUGAUACCAGAAACCCCUUAACAACUAGAAAUUGCAUACACAUAAGUGUGAAAACCUUAACUAACUAUACAUACGUAUGAAUCCAUAUCUGUCGUCGACUGAAACUACGCGCCGAUAUUUCUCAGUUGAACUAGAACCGCAGCCUAAUAUAGCAAGAUCCCCACCCCAAUAGUAGAUCUAUAACUAGAUAUCCAACACGAGACGCAUUCGGAUGUAAAACGUUUGGUUAGUCUUAGAGAGAAUCGGACUUAUACCAUCCGUGCGGCGCUUGUACACGUAGCGCUCCAUCUGGAAGUCGCAGUUCUUGGUGCCCAGGUGGACGUCGGCUGCGAGCAUCAUCUGGAUAUCCUGCUCCCGCUGGGACAGCGCCCGCGCGCCCCCGCCUGCCGGUGCCGCCGCCAUCGCCGAAGUUUAGGGUUUCUGACAGACGGCUGCGCCGUGCGCUAGAGAGGUGGAGGUGGAGGAGGGGGGAUGCUGCUCUGCUCUGCGGGUUUCCUUUUUGCUUUGCUUUCCUACAUACAGAUACAGGCCUCCUCCUGUCCUGUCUGGGCCGGCCCACCACUCUUCUGGCCCGUCAGACGCCAAGUUGCCGACCCGAGUGGAGGGAGGAGCACUAUAUUAUUUUAUGAUUAUAUGAUUAUUAUUAUGAUUCUAACUACUCCCUUCCUUCCUUGAUAAAUAUCAUAUCAGAUACUACGAGACACUAUAUGAUUUUAGAAUAUAUAUAAAUCUUUUUAGCUAGAUAUCUUCACACCCAUGUGCGUCUUUAUAUGUCAGCGUCAAUCAGGCUUAGGUUCGAAGCUAGCAUUUGGAUGUUCCAGAAAUAGUGACCUCUUUUCUUCUGAGGAUUGUACGACCAAAGAGCCAAUACUUAUUGCAUACUCCCUCCGUCCCAAAAUAAGUGUUGUUUGCGCUUUCCGAAAAAUAACUUUAACUAAAUAUAUAGUAAAAAAUAUUAAUAUUUAUAGUACAUAAUUAAUAUCAUUAGAAACAUCUUUAAGUCUAGUUUUUUAACAAAUUUAUUUAGAUAUAUAAAUAUUGUACACAUUUUCUACAAAUUAAGUCAAAGUUGUGGCACAAAAACCUAAAACGACACUCUUUUUGGGACGGAGGGAGUAUUUUAUUUAGUCAAUGUACAGGUGCUUUCUACAUGCACUUGUCCCGUGUUCUCGAUGUCGAUAAUAUUAAAGGUCAACAUGGUCAUCCAUAAAAGAAGAAGCAUCUAGACCUUCUACAUAAAUUAUUCUAAUACUAGUAUCUGAGAAUCUUUAGGUUUUACUUAGUUCCAACAAAAACUAUUUUUUUUAGAUUCUCUAUCAUAUCGAAUCUUGCGACAUAUACAUGAAACAUUAAAAAUAAAUAAAAAUAAUAAAUAAUUAUAUAGUUUGCUUAUAAUUUGCGAGACAAAUCUUUUAAAUCUAACUAGACCAUGAUUGAAUAAUAUUUAUAGUAUAGUAGUCAAAACAAAAAAAUUUUGCAAAGUAAACGAGGCCUUAAUUUGACGCAUACACCAACGUAUGAGUUUAAUUAUAAUACUUAUAAGGGGUCGUUUAGUUUUCUAUUAAAGUUUAACUCAUCUCACAUAGAAUAUUUAGACACAUAUAUGAAGUAUUAAAUAUAGACUAUUUAUAAAACUAAAAGUACAACUAAAGAGUAAUUUACGAGACGAAUCUUUUAAGCCAAUUUAGCCUAUAAUUAAACAUUAAUUAUUAAAUAAAACGAAAAUAUUAUAAUAUAUAUUAAACCCUAACCAAACCCCCUCUGAGAUGAGUGAUCGUCUCGAUCAUCAUCUUGUUCUCUAAGCUUCUUCUACAGUAUUUUUUAUAGGCCUUGUUUAGUUCGCAUUAAAAAAAUAAAAAAAAUUCAAGAUUUUCUGUCACAUCAAAUAUUGCGGCACAUGCAUGGAGCAUUAAAUAUAGAUGAAAAUAAAAACUAAUUACAUAGUUUGUCUGUAAAUCGCGAGACAAAAAUCUUUUAAGCCUAGUUACUCCAUAAUUAGACAAUGUUUGUCAAAUAAAAUGAAAGUACUAAAGUGUCAAAAUCCGAAAACUUUUUGAUCUAAACUUUAUCCCAAAAAUAAAAAACUUUUUAAGAUUCUCUGUCACAUUGAAUCUUGCGGCACAUGCAUUAAGUAUUAAAUAUUGACAAAAACAAAAACUAAUUGCACAAUUUGUCUAGAAAUCGGGAGGUAAAACUUUUGAACCUAGUUAGUCCAUAAUUGGACAAUAAUUGACACGUAAAAAUAAAAAUACUACGGUACAAAAACCAAAAAAUUUGGAGAACCAAACAAGGCCUUUGUAUGGUCAACACUUUUUUUCGGGGGGGGGGGGGGGGGUUGUAUGGUCAACACUGACUGCUUGACUUUUCAACGAAAUGUUGGUUCGUGUGCCACCUGCUCCAUUCUUCCCCUUUUUAUCCGUUGUUUUCGUUUCUAAAAAAUUAAAUAUUAAUAUUUAUAAAAUAUAACAAAUAUCAUUAGAUAAAUUACUGUUUUUAUUUCCAUAAUAGAUAAAAAUAUUAUUAAUAUUUUUCUACAAAUAUGGUUAAUUUUAAGAAAAAUUGACUAGCUACAGCGAUAGGUAGAGAGCGAUGGCAGGGACUACUACCUUGUUUGUUUGUCAAACAAAAUAGCUUAUAUAAUUAAAGCUGGUUUAUAGGUAUUAUAGGUAGUAUAUGGUAAAAUAUUAACGGGCUUCUAAAAUAAGCUGCUCCUUGAUGAUGGCUUAUUUCAGUUUAUAUAUGUGGACAUCUUAGGCCUUGUUUAGAUGCAAUUUUUUUUUGUAUUUCGCUACUGUAGAACUUUCAUUUGUUUGUGACAAAUAUUGUCUAAUUAUAGACUAACUAUGAUCAAAAGAUUCGUCUCGUGAUUUACAGGUAAAGUGUGUAAUUAAUUUUUGUUUUCAUCUACAUUUAAUGCUUCAUGUAUGUGCCGCAAGAUUCGAUGUGACAGGGAAUCUUGAAAACUUUUUGGUUUUUGGGUGAACUAAACAAGGCCUUAGUGUGAUUUUUUACAAUAGUACCCAUGACCCUUAAACCAUAAUGUAUAGGCCUUUAAACAAACCAAUAGAUUAAAUAUAGUGUUCUAGGAGAUAGUUGCUAUCCGCACUACUAGAAGGAGGAGAGUUUAAAUCUCAUUCUCAUUUUUAGCCAACUAUUCUAACUCAUACUAGAGCAAACACACCCUAAAGAUGCAUGGGCACGUACUCAUAUUCAAAUACAUUUGUUAUGAGAAAAAAUAUUACUGAAUAGUUGAUAAAUUCGACAAAUUAGGUCAAACAAACAGUAAAAACGCUGACCCAUACUAUAUUUUAGGGUUAGUCACUUGGAUCUGUCAACUCUGACCCCCUUACAUCUUGUUCACUUGAUGAUCUGCCGAAUCUGCUAAUUAUUCAGUAGUAUUUUUUCUCUCACAAUAAAUUAAUGAAGAAUACUUUUAAUCAUGCCUUAUCAACCAGAUGAACUACUUUUAGUUUAUAGAUACUUGAUCCGUCAAUCAAGAAGUUAUUAGUUAGGCGCAAGCCUAUACAUGUUUGACUUGGUUUGGACACUUGGAUCUGUCGUAUGUCAAUCAAGAAGUUAUUAGUUAGGUGCAAGCCUAUAUAUGUCUGACAUCGUAUUUUUUAAGGCCAUGUUUAGUUUUUAUCUAAAAACUUUUUACUCCAUUAUAUCAAAUAUUUGGAUAUAUACAUAGAGUAUUAAAUAUAAACUAAAAAAUAACUAAUUACAUAGUUUGCAUAUAUUUUGCGAGACAAAUCUUUUAAGCAUAAUUAAUUUAUGAUUGGACAUUAAUUGCUAUAGUUACACAUAUACUAUAGUAUCUAAUUUUGUUUCUUUUCACGAACUAAACAAGACCUUUAAGCCCUGAAAUGAAGUUUCACUGAUUAAUCAGAGUAUUCCAUUUUAGGCUUUGUUUAGUUACAUCAGAAAUCAAGUAACUUUUCAAGAUUUUUCAUUAUAUCAAAUUUUGUGGCGCAUACAUAGAGCAUUAAAUAUAGAUAAAAAAUAACUAAUUGUACAGUUUGCCAGUAAUUUGCGAGACGAAUCUUUUGAGUCUAUUGAAUUCAUAGUUGAACAAUGAUUACUGAAUACAAAUAAAAAUACUACAACACCAAAAAAAACUUUUUGCUCAUAGAACUAAACAUUCCUUUUGGUGAUAUUCUGAUUUGCAAAUUCAUUUUUCCCACGGUUUUGUGUCACAGCCACAAGCCUCGGUUUUUGCACCAUUUUUCUCGGGGGCUGUUUAAUUGGUGUUCUUUUUUUACAUAUAACACUUUCGCUUAUAUUUGACAAGUAUUGUUCAACCAUAGGUUAAGAGUGUAUUUAGUUAAAAAAAUGCAAAAUGCCAACUAUUUUGGAACGAUGGAAUGCAAAAUGCCAAAAUUUUUAAGAUUAUGGCCUUGUUUAGAUGUGAAAACUUUUCGGAUUUCGCUAUUGUAGCACUUUCGUUUGUUUGUGGCAAAUAUUGUCCAAUCAUAGACUAACUAGGGUUAAAAGAUUCGUCUCGUGAUUUACAGGCAAACUAUGUAAUUAGUUUUUGUUUUCGUCUAUAUUUAAUGCUUCAUGCAUGUGCCGCAAGAUUCGAUGUGACGCGAAAUCUUGAAAACUUUUUGGUUUUUGAUGAACUAAACAAGACCUAUGUUUAGUUUCAUCUAAAAUGCAUAAUUUAUUGCCCUCAUGAAGACCUCUUGAGGCCAAACUCUAAAAUAGAGAAUAACUAUUUUUUACUUAAAAUUUUGUAUGAUGUUUAGUUCCAUUAUAUAGAAUGAUAGACCAAAAUUCAAAAUUUUUUGAAUAGUGGUGGAACUAAACACCCCCUAAGGCCUUGUUUCAGUUGGCAAUUUUUUUUUAGUUUUGGGUACUGUAGCACAUUCGUUUGUAUGUGAUAAAUAUUGUCCAAUCAUGAACUAACUAGACUUAAAAGACCCGUCUCACAAAUACAUACAAACUGUAUAAUUAAUUUUUAUUUUCGUCUAUAUUUAAUAUUUUAUACAUGUGCCAUAAAAUUUGAUGUGACGGGAAAUCUUAAAAAAUUUUACAUACUUUUUGAAAACUAAACAAGGCCUAAUUAGGCUCAAAAUUUUCAUCUUGUAAAUUGUAGAUAAACUAUACAAUUAGUUAUUUUUUUAUCUAUAUUUAAUGUUCCAUGUAUAUGCAACAAAAUUUGAUGUAAAAAAAUCUUAAAAAAAUUUUGCAAAAUUUUUGAAAAUAAGGCCUUGUUUAGCUUGUGAAGGAAAAAAUUUCGUGACACUGUAUCACUUUUGUUUGUUUGUGGUAAUUAUUGUCUAACCUUAGACUAACUAGACUCAAAAGAUUCGUCUCGUCAAUUUCGACCAAACUAUGCAAUUAAUUUUUAUUUUUGUCUAUAUUUAAUUCUCUAUACAUGCGUCUAAAGAUUCGAUGUGACGGGGCUCGAAAAAAUUUAGGUUUUUGGGUAGGAGUAAACAAAAACCGCCCCUCAAUUCAGAUAACGACAGCUAAAAGUAGUCAAAGUAUUCAGGAUUACGUUGAGAUUUGUUUCUGCUGUUCUUGCACAAACACGGACCUCGCGCCGUGGACAAGAUCUGGUCGCGGCCAUGGUCGCCAUCCUGGAACCUUCCCCCGUGUUGCCCCUCCUUGGCAGGCAGCAGCUCCUUCAAAUUUGCCUCCGUCAAAGCUGCGGCCGCCAUCCUCACUUACCUUUCCCCACGAAACAUUUCUCACUCGUAAGCUAGCAGCAGGCUGAUUCGCCACGCAAAGCUCUGAUUUUUACCACCGGCGAGCCAUGUCCGCCGCGCCGGAGGAGUUCCUGGCCCAGGGGACCUACCUCGCCGCCCCCGAGCCCUUCUCCCCCUCCAUCUUCCUCGACCUGCCCCCGACGCCCCGCCCCGAUGGCGAUGACCCGACCUCCGACGACCCGGCCUCCUCCGACGACCUCGUCCUCCCCUUCAUCUCGCGGAUGCUCAUGGAGGAGGACAUCGACGACAAGUUCUUCUACCAGUUCCCCGACCACCCCGCGCUCCUCAGCGCCCAGCAGCCGUACGCACAGAUCCUCUCCGACGCCACCGCCGCCUCCUCAUCCGACUCCGCCGCCAUCACCAGCUCAGGGACCGGCGGCAGCUCCACCUUCUCCUCGUCCUCUUCCGCCCCCGCAUCUGCCGACCCCACCUGGCCCUAUGAUCCAAUCGAGCUCUCCCAGCUGCUGCGCUCCCCUCCGUACCCGGACAUGGGGGUGGGGCUCGAUGACUUCACCGCCGACGAGGUCAACGCCGUCUUCUCGCCGGGGCAAGACGCCGCGUUCCAGCCGAGUCCGGCGUUCUUGGAUGCCGCCGGCGGCGGCGGAGGCCAACGGCUGGGCGCUUCACUCACCGCCCAGAAAGCUGGCGGUGGUGGAGCCCAACAGCAGCGCGCUUCCCUCGUUGCCCAGGAUGCCGGCGAUGGCGUGGGCAUCCAGAGUUCGGCAUGCGCGGAGGAGACGAAGACAGAGUCCACCACCUUGCCUGCUGGUGAUGGUGACCAUGCCGCGCUGUUCUCAGCCUUCUUCGGUGCCCAGAAUGGGGAAAAUAUGGACAUGCUCAACAUGGCGUUCCUCAAAGGCAUGGAAGAGGCCAAGAAGUUCUUGCCCACCAACAAUAGCCUUCUGAUCAACCUUGACGACACCUCUGGCCAAUCCUUGCCUACAGACAGAGACAUCAAGUCGUCCACUGCCUUUGUUGCUACCCAAGUGAAGGAGGAGGAGGUUUCGCUCAAAAAAAAGGAGGAGGUGGAUGGGAUAUCAUUGUUUCGAGGAAUUAGCAAUGGCAGGGGCCGCAAGAACCAUCACUCCCAAGAGGACUUGGAAGUGGAGACAGGCAGAAACAGCAAACUGAUGAUGCCUGAACAGGAAGAAGCCGGUGCUAGUGAGCUGUUCGACGAAUUAAUGUCCGGCAAACAUGAUGGAUUCUUGAAAAACAUGCAGGAUCUUCGCAUCGCCAUGGAUAGCGAGUCUGAGAAGAGUGCCAGGAGGGUGAGUGGGAAGGGGGCGCGGGGGAAGCAGCAUGGGAACGAGUUUGUUGACCUGCACACCAUGCUCAUCCAUUGCGCACAGGCAAUGGCCACUGGUGAUCGCCGAAGUGCAACCGAGAUGCUGAAACAGAUCAAGCAGCACUCCUCUCUCAGAGGGGAUGCCUCAGAGAGGUUGGCCUAUUGUUUUGCAGAAGGACUGGAGGCGCGACUUGCUGGCACAGGGAGCCAGGUGUACCAGUCGCUCGUGGCAAAACGGACAUCGGUUGUGGAGUUCCUCAAGGCAUACAAGCUAUUCUUGGCGGCCAUCAGCCUCAAUAAGGUGCAUAUCUUCUUCUCCAACAGGAACAUCAUGGAUUCCGUGGCAGGGAGGAGCAAAUUGCACAUUGUGGCAUAUGGUGUACAGCAUGGUUUACAGUGGCCAGGUUUGCUAAAUUCCCUAGCAGGUAGAGAAGGUGGGCCUCCAGAGGUGAGGUUCACUGGCAUUGACCUUCCGCAACCUGGGUUCCGCCCAGCCUACCAGAUUGAAGAAACGGGCCGCCGGCUUAGCAACUGUGCCCGUGAAUUCGGCGUGCCAUUCAAGUUCCAUGCUAUAGCAGCAAAGUGGGAGACGAUCUGUGCUAAGGACCUCAACAUUGAUCCAGAUGAGGUGCUUGUUGUGAACAGCGAGUGCCACUUCAGCAAUUUGAUGGAUGAGAGUGUUGACGCUGACACCCCAAGCCCCAGAGAUUUGGUGCUCAACAACAUUCGAAAGAUGCAACCCAAUAUUUUCAUCCAGAUUGUCCAUAGUGGCACAUUUGGUGCUCCAUUCUUCCUGACACGGUUCCGGGAGGCACUGUUCUACUACUCAGCACUAUUUGACAUGCUGGAUGCAACCAUUCCCCGGGACAAUGAUGUACGGCUGCUGAUCGAGCGGGAUAUUGUUGGGCGAUCUGCCCUGAAUGUUAUUGCUUGUGAGGGUGCAGACAGGUUGGAUCGCCCUGAGACUUAUAAGCAAUGGCAGGUGCGGAACCACCGGGCUGGGCUCAAGCAGCUACCAUUGAAUCCAGAGAUUGUAAAGCUUGCGAGGGAUAAGGUCAAGAAGUAUUACCACAAAGACUUUCUCAUCGAUGAGGAUCAUCGAUGGUUGUUGCAGGGAUGGAAAGGGCGGGUCCUCUUUGCCAUGUCAACAUGGGUUGCUGAGGAUAAUAACUCCAUCUGUUAGCUGCUUCACUUGGCCUUGUUUUGGAUUAUGAAUGAUAUUGAUGUUUAAUAGAUGGUCUGUCUUUAUUUUACCACCAAACUAUGACCCGGCAUCUAGAGGGUUUUAGUGCUGAAACUUUGUAAGCUAGAAAUAAGUAGAACAAUAGAUGCUUAGAGCUACAUAGAAUGUAGAUAUAGUUCUAGAUAUCUUGCAGAAUUGUGAUGUGUACACCACCUGUAACUGAUAAACAAGUUUAUUGAUUACUUAUUCGACUUUUUAUGUGUCUCUUCCAGUUCUGUUUCUUCUGUAUCAUUAGACUCUUGGCAUUUCCCUUGGCGUGAUUAUCGAAGUUGCUCUGUUUAAUCAAAGUAUUCUAUUUGGCUGGAUAUCUUCCAUCAUUUUCUCAUCCAGACAAGUACAGCUACAUGUGUUCACUAGAUUCAGGAUUAUGUGAUGAUGUUUCUGCAAUAUGGGAAGAGUCAGACUUGGAUCUGCUGGAGGAUGCAUUCAAAUGUAUGCAUCUGACAGUUAUGAUGUUUUUUUGUGGUGUUUGUAAUGAUUCUUUAUCAUAUAUUAACAAUAAAUAAAGAUCGUCUGCAGCAAUCUGCUAGGAUUCUAUUGUACCGAUCUUCAAUAAAGCUACAGUUGCCUUGGAUAAACUUACUGUUCAAAGCCUGAUGCUUCUUGUUUGCACUAGUCAUUUCUUGCACUAUGUUUUUCCUCAUGCAAUAUUUUUGCCUGUUUGUUCAAUCUCACAGGCUUAGCAUUUGUGGUUGUAUGUCUUGUGUUAUUUCUUUUCCAGGUUUGUAGCACUAACAGUUUGGUUCAUCUGUCCGUGUGUGGAACAGGGGAGAGCACCUGACCAAACGUGGACAAGUUGAUCAUGACUGGCUGACAUUGGGAAAAUUGAAGCGGGUAGAAGCAGGUAAGAUCUGUCUUUUAUUCUGUACUUCUGUGCAUAUAAUACAGAGUCGCAAAUUUAGGGUGUGUUUGAAUGUGUGGCUAAGUUUCAACCAGGCUCCAGGCUCCAUAAAGCCACCUUCGUGCUAUUUGGUUGUCCUGUUUUGAGUCUGAAGCCAGGCUCCAGAAAAACGCAGGGGGCGAUCGUUUUAUGGGAGCCAGGCUUGGCUAGCACCGGUGGCCCGUUCUUGUCACCUCUCUCACCCGCGCUCACCCUCACCCGCAACGGAACCACCGGCGGCGGCCCUGCCUCCAUGGCUACCACGGCUUCUCCGUGUUCGCCGUCCUCCUCGUCCUCGGUGGCCAGGUCGCGCUCCUCCUCCUCUCCUGCCUCCGCUUCCUGCUUGAUGCCGUAUUCAGAGCAAGCCCAUGGCAACGCGGCAAUGAGCAGCAUCACCACUGGCACCUACCCAGAGAUGGAGAGCGUUAGCUCCUGCCACCCUCCCGACUUGCCUCCUUCCCCUCCCCCUCAUCUGGCACCAGCGUCAGCCAUCCACAAUGAGGCGGCGGUUCGACAUCCCCAACGCUAGCUCCGGCAGUGGCCCAGAGGAGAAGGAGCAGCGGGCGCUGCCGUGCGUCUGUGGGCUGGACGAUUGCAUGAUGGAGUGGGACGAGCAGCGCGAGCCGGUCGUAAAGAUUCUCAUCAAUGAGGGUAGUUUCUUGUACUACUAUUUAGAUGGGGAUUUUUUUUGUUCUUGAAGCAUGGCAGUGAAAUCUAUUACUGAGGAUUUGGAUGAAAUUGCUGUUUGUCCGUUCGGCAGUAACCUGUCGUGUUUGGAUGGAAUUGAGGGGUAGUAAAUUUUUCCAAUUGCCUAUAAAUAGAUCUUCCUAUGUGAUUUUCUGUUUGUUGCAGAAUUUUACCCAUCAAUCUACUAAUUUGCUUUCAAAGGAAAUUUAGGGGAUCUUGAUCGUCAUGUUUGUGUGCUAAAUCAUAUGAAUUUUCGUUGCUAUUUCGUUACUCAAAUGGACUAGAUUGAUCUGGAUUGAGGCACUCACUGAAUGUAAUAUGUGAAAAUGCAUGUAUAAGAAACAGGGUAAUAAAGAUCUGAACUGCAUCAACCUGCUUCUAGACCAUUCAGUUUUGCGACUGUCCAAAUGCAGUCCAAUCAACAUGAUCUUCCUUUAAGCAGAACUCAUACUCCAUCCAUCAAGCUGCUAUAUACUAGACCUUGGAAGCAGGAGCAGAGGAGCUUUGGCAUCAUGUUAGUUUUAUGACUGGGCAAAUACAGAUGACAUGUUCCAACCAUUUCAGUGGUAUGUGAUGCCUAGUAGGAGGUAAACUUACCAAGUUGAAGUGACUGUAUACAGAGCAAACCAGGCAACCAAACACAUUAUUUGCUGGCCAGGCUUAGAUAACACAAACGAUCGAACAACUAGGGGUUGGCUUAGUGGGAGCAGGCUAAAACUGCCCAGGCUAAAAUUCUAGCUAGGCUAUGAAAGAGCAUCUAGGCCCCUAGUGAUUUCGGUGAUUAAUGACAUUGUUGAUUACUAUGACUAACGUGUGUUUUGCAGAGGCAAAAUCAUAGGUAAGGUCAUGGUAAAUAGGUACUGGAUGGACAGGGACGUACAUGCCUACUUAAUAGUGAAAAUCGUUUCGGUUUUCAAAGGAUGGAUGGACAUCGUCAAGACUAGGCUAGGUCUAAGUGCCAUAUGGUGAAGAAGGGCACUUAGAGUAGUUUAGGACUUUGUUUUCCUUUGACCGUACUAUUAAGAGGGGCUUUGAUCUAGUAGCUUGACUUAGGCAAGGCUUUAGUUUUAGGUGUGGUGCACACUUAGUAAACCUAGCACUAGGCAGCUCAGAGAUAGUUCUUAGAUCGGAAGGAACAAACUUCGUUUUGGAGCGAUCGCGUUUCGACGAAGUUAGGGUGCCCAAGGGGGCACCGGACGCUCUGUGAGUGCGUCCGGUGAGGUCCUUAGCCGUUGGAACAGUGCCGUGCUUAGGGUUAGGCACCGGACGCUGGCACCGGACUCACCGGGCAGCGUCCGGUCCCAUACCCAGGGAGGUUGCAAACCUGCCCUGAGCACCGGACGCACCGGGUAGCGUUCGGUCCCAUACACAGGGAGCAUGUAAGUUUCCCCGGAGCACCGGACGGUGCACCGGACGCUGGAAGUUAGCGUCCGGUGACCUGUCAGAAGCAAGUACAGUUAGCCGUUAUAGAGCACCGGACGCUCGGUGCAGAGCGUCCGGUGCAACAUAAAGAGCGUCCGGUGACCUUUCAGUGGAAAACGGUUGGCUGACCCUUGGACUUCGUGGGUAGUAUUUAUACUCCUCCACCUCGUCCAUGAGAGGUCUCUUGCCCAUUUGAACAUCAGAGAAACUUGUUGUGGAGCAAGAGAGUAGCAAGAGCCUAGAGAGGAUUGAGAUUUGAGUGAUUUCUUGAGAGAAUCCUUCUCUAGUGAGUUCCAAGAGUCAAGUGUGCAUCCACCACUCUCUAGAGCCUUGUUUGGGUCAAGUGAGAGUUCUUUGCUUGUUACUCUUGGUGAUCGCCAUCACCUAGACGGUUCGGUGGUGAUUGGAGGCACGAAGACCGGCCGGAGUUCUUGUGGGUGGCUCGUGUCAAGCUUGUGAGCGGUUUUGGGCGAUUCACCGCGACGGAGUGUCGAAGAAUCAGCCCGUAGAGAGCACUUGGUCCUUGCGCAGAUCAAGGGGGAGCAAGACCCUUGCGCGGGUGCUCCAACGAGGACUAGUGGAGAGUGGCGACUCUCCGAUACCUCGGCAAAACAUCGCCGAGCACUUUCUUCCACUACUCCUUUACAUUCUAGCUUUUACUUUGUGCUUUUACAUUCUUAGUAUUGCCAUGCUAGAAUAGGAUUGGAACUAGGUCGCAAAACUUUUAUCCGGUAGCUCUCUAGGUCACACUAAGCACAAGGGGUUGAAUUGGAGCUUAUAGGUUGCUUAAAUUUUUAGAGAAGCCCAAUUCACCCCCUCUUGGGCAUCUUGAUCCUUUCAGGCUAGAAAUAGGCCAGGAAACCAAACACACCCUUAUUAGUUAUACCUAAAGUUUAAUUUUUUCAAGAUUUUCCAUCAUAUUGGAUCUUACGGUACAUGCAUAAAGCAUUAAAUAUAGGUAAAAAAACUAAUUACACAGUUUUCCCGUAAUUUGCGACACAAAUUUUUCGAGCCUAGUUAGUUCAUGAUUGGAUAAUAAUUAUCAAAUAAAAAUGAAAUGCUACAAUACCCAAAAACUUUUCACCAAUGGAGCCUUGUUUAGUUUGCGAAAUUUUUUGGUUUUGGCUACUAUAGCAUUUUCGUUUGUAUUUGACAAUUAUUAUCCAAUCAUGGACUAACUAGGCUCAAAAGACCCGUCUCGCAAAUUAUAGACAAACUGUAUAAUUAGUUUUUGUUUUUAUUUAAAUUUAAUGCUCCAUGUAUGCGUUUAAAAUUUGAUGUGACAGAGAAUCUUGAAAUUUUUAGAAACUAAACUAGGCCUAAGUUACACCUGCAAUUUAAAAACUUUUCAAGAUUCUCCGUCACAUCGAAUCUUGCGGCAUAUACAUGGAGCAUUAAAUAUAGACAAAAAAUAACUAAUUAUACAAUUUUUUUGUAAUUUGCGAGACAAAUCUUUUGAGCCUAGUUAAUCUAUGAUUAGAUAAUAAUUGUCAAAUACAAAUUAAAGUGCUAUGAUACUCAAAAACUUCUCACCCAGGGAACUAAACAAGUCCUGAAUAUUUAGCAUGGUUUUCUCAUCAAGACAGGUCACAGACAUAAGCCUCAUUUGUAAUUAAGAGUAUUAUAUUUCCAGCUGACCAUAGUUAAAAUUUCUGCUGUGUAUUCUCCUCCAGAAGAAAUGGUUUUCUCAUCAAGACAGGUCACAGGCAUAAGCCUCAUUUGUAAUUAAGAGUAUUAUAUUUCCAGCUGACCAUAGUUAAAAUUUCUGCUGUGUAUUCUCCUCCAGAAGAAAGGAAGAAAGAAAGAACCUUUUUUGGGCCAAGCCAAGACUGGAACCCUAUUUGCAUGUAUUCUGCUGUGUAUUUGACGGUGCAGAGUUUGGUCAAGCAAAAGAAAAAAAAAGUUUUUUUCUGUUGGGCAGGACAAGACAAAGACUGCCUAUAGCAGCAGGUGUUAGGUUUUUUAUAUUAUAUUAAGAAAAGGUAUACUAGGGCCUUGUUAAGGUUUCUUAAAAUUUUCAAGAUUCAAGAUUCUCUGUCAAGGCAUGCAUGAAACACUAAAUAUAGACGAAAACAGUAACUUAUUGUAUAGUUUGUCUGUAAUUUGCGAGACGAAUCUUUUGUGUUUUAGUUUAUGAUUAGACAAUAAUUAUCAAAUACAAACAAAAAUGCUAUAGUAGCCAAAAUCCAAAAACUUCGCAAACUAAACAAGGCUUUAGUCACACUCGAAAUCUAAAAGCUUUUUAAGAUUCUCUAUCACAUUGAAUCUUACGGCACAUACAUAGAGCAUUAAAUAUAGAUAAAAAGUAACUAAUUACACAGUUUGUUUAUUUGAAAAACGAAUCUUUUAUGUCUAGUUGGUCUAUAGUUGGACAAUAAAAGCCUCUUUGGUCAUGCUCCUAUAGGGGCUUCAGCUCUGGCUCUUGCAAGAGCUAUACCAAACUUCUAUUUUGGAAAGAGCUCCGCAGUCAAGAGCCGGAGCUAUUUUUUUUGCCUAUGCAAGAGAAGCCUAAAAGACGAGCUUCGCACGGCUCCUCGUUGGAUUAACAUUAUCUGGUUUCGAAGGAGCCGCUUCGCCAAAUGUUUUCCAGAACGACUUGCUUUUUCAGAGCCAUUUUGUCAAAAUCCUGCCAAACAUACACUAAUUACUAAAUACAAAUGAAAGGGAAAUUCCACUCUUUAACCUUCUGGAUGGAUGGCAUACAGAAUUCAGACAACCAAAAACCUUAAACUUUCAUCCACCCACACUCAGCACAAAGCAUCCAGCAGCCAUGGCCGCCUCGCCGGAGGGCGAGGGCCUCUUCGUUGACCCCGAGCCCUUCUCCCCGUCCAUCUUCCUCGACCUGUCCCCGACGCCCCGCCCCGAUGGCAACGGCGAGGCCCCGGCCUCAUCAGACGACCUCGUCCUCCCCUUCAUCUCGCGGAUCCUCAUGGAGGAGGACAUCGACGACCAAUUCUUCUACCAGUUUCCCGACCACCCCGUGCUCCUCCAAGCCCAGGAACCGUACGCGCAGAUCCUCUCUGACGCAGCCGCGGCUCGCACCAACAGCGCUGCCUCGGGCUCGGGCUCCCCCGCCACCGUCUCGCCGUCCUCCUCCUCCGACCCAGCCCAGCUCCUCCUGUCCCCGCCGUACCCCGAUGCGGGACUGCACGACUUCACCAACGACCAUGUCGGCACCUUCUUCUUGCCCGCACAAGGUGGUGGCAGCCCGGAGUUCGAGCAGAGUCCGGCGCAAUUGAGGACCACAACCUUGCCCGCCGGCGACGGCGACCACGCGGCGCUGGCCUCGGUCUUCUUCAAGAGGGAAGACGCGGACGCGGAGAUGCUCAACAAGGCAUUCCUCAAGGGUAUGGAGGAGGCCAAGAAGUUCUUGCCCACCACCAACAGCCUCCUAAUCGAUCGUGGGGCAGAGGAGGUGGAGGAGGGAAUUAAUGGCAGGUGCCGUAAGGAUAGGGACAGGCUCAGUUGGGAUGACUUGGAGGCUGAGACGUGCAGGAAGAGCAAGCUGAUGGUGCCUGAGCCUGAGGAAACUGGCGAGAUGGUAGAUGAAAUGAUUGUCAAUGGACUGAAAUUGUGCCUCAAAGAAAUGGAGGCCCUGCGAAUCACCAUGGGCAGUGAGGCUAAGAAGAAGGCAAGGAAGGGCAAAGGGAAGUCGGCACAGGGAAGGUCUAGCUCCAACGAGGCGGUGGAGCUGAGCACCUUGCUCAUCCACUGUGCACAGGCCGUGGCCACGGACAACCGCAGGAGUGCGACCGAAUUGCUGAGACAGAUCAAGCAGCACUCGUCGCCGAAGGGUGAUGCCACACAGAGGUUGGCACAUUGUUUUGCAGAGGGAUUGGAGGCGCGGCUGGCAGGGUCAGGGAGCCAGCUCUACAGAUCUCUCAUGGCUGAGCGUGUCUCGGUCGUGGAGUACCUCAAGGCCUACUGGUUGUACCUGGCAGCUUGCUGUUUCAAAAUGACGGCAUUCAGGUUCUCCAACAUGACAAUCCUCAAGGCCAUCGCUGGGAGGAAAAAGGUUCACAUUGUGAAUUAUGGCAUGGAUUAUGGGGUUCAGUGGCCAAGUUUGCUAUACCAUAUGGCGAACUUGGAGGGUGGGCCACCUGAAGUGAGGAUCACCGGCAUUGACCUCCCCCAGCCUGGAUUCCGCCCAGCCAUGCGGAUUGAGGAGACAGGGCACCGGCUCAGCAAUUAUGCUCGUCAGCUCGGUGUGCCAUUCAAGUUCCAUGGCAUCACAGCGAAGUGGGAUACAGUUCGUGUUGAUGACCUGAACAUUGACCCUGAUGAGGUACUCAUUGUCAAUAGUAUCAUCCAGUUUGGAAAUUUGAUGGACGAGGGGGUCAACAUCGAUAGCCCAAGUCCUAGGGAUGUUGUCCUCAGAACCAUUCGCAAGAUGCAACCUGAUGCGUUCAUCCUUUAUGUCAUGAAUGUCUCAUACAGUGCUCCAUUCUUUGUAACACGUUUCCGUGAGGCGCUGUUCUUUUACUCCGCAAUGUUUGACAUGCUGGAUGCCACGGCUCCACGGGAUAGUCACCAGCGCUUUUUGGUUGAGCAGCACCUCUUUAGGCAGUGUGCCCUGAGUGUUGUUGCCUGUGAGGGCAUGGACAGGGUGGAGCGCGCGGAGACAUAUAAGCAAUGGCAGGUGCGGAACCACCGGGCAGGGCUAAGGCAGCUUCCAUUGGAUCCAGAUCUUGUAAAGACCUUGAGGGACAAAGUUAGGGAUCAGUAUCACAAGGACUUCGUCAUUGAUACGGAUCAUAAUUGGCUCCUGGAAGGAUGGAAGGGACGCAUACUCUAUGCCAUGUCGACAUGGGUUGCAGAUAAUCCUGUCUCAGAACUUUAGCUGCUUUUCUCACUGCAUACAGAAAUAUCGAUAAUUGCAACUAUACAUAUAUGAUUCUGAAUUUCUGUUUUACCAAUGAACUUCAUGAGCUUCUCAGCAGCUUUGGUGGAAGGUAUGCAUACUUUAUGCCAUGUCGACAUGAGUUUCAGAAUUCAGAUGAUGCUAUCUCAGGACUUUAAUGGCUUUUCAUCACAAGAUACAGAGAUAUAUGCCUCUGUUGUAUGUGGUUCAACAACACUUAAUUUAAAGAUGCUUAGAUAUAAGCAGUAGAUGCAUUAUAAUGUCUUUUAAUAAUGUAAUAGUAGAUGCUUCUUUAGGUGUUCUUGUUGCUUCUUAUAUCUGCAUAGGAUCUUAGAUUAGUUCUCGGUGUGUUGCUGCAGAACCUGUGUAAAUGUAUGACAAACUGAAAGGCCACUUGUGGUACCUGUGUUGUGAAGUCCACUUUUUGUUGUAACAUUGUAUUCCAUUGCAUCUGGAAAGAGUAAACAGACACAUGAUUAAGCGUUAAAAGCGCACCUAUUACUCUGUCAUUCAGAGUAGUGGUUUCUGCUGCUUUUUUUUUGUGAUUGUUUCAAAUGCGAACUUAUUGAUACUUUACUUUUCCCAUUUUCUAUCUAGUUUCAAAUUCCCGGGGACGGUUUCUGCUGAAUAUUUUCUGAAUUCUCAGAGUACAGUUGAAAGAGGUGUUUCUGUUUUUUCAUUUUGGGGACCAAACUAUGGCAGGCUUAUUCAGCGUACCUGACUGAUUCUUUUGCUCAAAGCGUAAGGAGUACAAAUGAUAUAGCAGCAUGCCCAGACACAAAGGCCUUGCAAAGAAACUGUUUCUGCAAUUUCGGAGAGGUGCUGGAUGGCAUCUGCUUAUGUGUGAUGAUACAUAGUAUGACAGUUGUGAUAGUUUCUGAACAAAGAUGGACAUAUUAUGGUCACUGUAAGCUUACAAUGAUCCUUUCAUCAUAGUAGUAGUACUAAGUUACUGGUGAUGACAGAGAAAGGCCCACAAUUGCACAUCUGCAAAUUGGGCGUCUGUUAAUUUUAGGAUGAUUCUCUACCUAUUGGGAUUCACAAUUUCAGAGUAGUAUCAACCUUGAGAUUUAUAUAGGCAUCAGAGAUUCGAAGUAGCAGUUGUGGCAGUGAUGCUUCCACAAAUAAGUUCAUCGGUUGAUAUUGAGUUGCUAGCUUACUGGUGUGUCGAAUGCUGAAGAGAUGUUUGUUGCUUGCCUCAGUCAUUUCUCACACUGUUUUUCUGAGGGCCUGUUUAGAUUUGAAAUUUUUUGGCCCAAAGUGGAAAAUUUUUGUAGAAUUGGGGCCUGAGAACUAAACGGGGCCAAAAAAUUUUGGGGUCAAAAUGCACACACUCCUAUGGAAGCCCACUAAUGACAACUUUAACUGCAUGCAGCUCAAGUUGUGUCAGAAAAAAAUUUGCCAAACUAAACACCUAAAUUUUUUUUUACCACUUUGACCAAAAAAUUUCAAAUUUAAACAGGCCUGAGUGUUCUAGCAUAGAGAAUCGACCUUUUUCCUGGAGGGUGUAAAAUAGGCCCACUCUAUGCAUCUCUGUCAUGGUUAUUCAUUUAUUUUCAGGUUUUGUACAGUAAUGAUAUUGUUCAAGGGUCCAUGCUUGGAGCAGGGUAUGAACAUCUGAGGAAAGGUGGGUAGUCUGGCAUAUGCAGAUCUGAAGCAGGUGCACUGUCCAUCCACUUUGUAAAUUAUUCCACCUUUCUGAUGCAUGUUCAGCAUGAGCAAAUUCAGAAUAUUGUCAUGUAUUUGGUGCAGUGCAUUGUGUCUUUGCUGUGUUCUAGUAGUAAGAAAAUAAAUAAAAAAAUUGUAGGAAGCCAUUACUUUACUCUGUUUCAACGCAGCAGCCUAGCAGGUGCCUGGCACAAGAAGACUGCCUGUUUGCAAAUUGACGUCUUCUCUUCUCUCUCUCGCUCAAAAAAAAAAGAUUCCGUUUUUAUCCACCCACGACCCACCACCACCAGGCCACCCAGCGUCGCAGCCAUGGCAGCCUCGCCGGAGGUUUUCUUGCCUGACCUCGAAGAGCCCUUCUCCCCCUCCGUCUUCCUUGACCUGCCCCCGACGCCUCGCUCUGAUGGCAAUGGCGACGGCAAGGACCCGGCCUCCGACGAUAUCGUCCUCCCCUUCAUCGAGCGCAUGCUCAUGGAGGAGGGGAUCGACGAAGAGUUCUUGUACCAGUACCCGUGCCACCCCGCGCUUCUCCAAGCCCAGGAAUCGUACGCGCAGGUCCUCUCCGAGCCCACCGCGGAUUCGUCUUCGGACGGCAGGCUGUCCGUGUCGGUGUCCUCCGGCUCCGACGCGGGAGUGGGGGCCGACGACCUCACCGCGGACGCCAUCACGGCGUCCGAGCAGAGUCCGGCGCGAUUGGGGGAUGCUGGCGUCCGGAGUGACGAGAGGCCGGCGCAAUUGGGGUACGCCGGCACCGCCGCCCGGAGUGACGCCGCCGCCGAGGAGGAGGUGGAGAAAAAGGCCAACAGCACUAUGCUUGCAGUCGUCGAUGGGCUGAACUCCGCAUUCUUCAGUGCCCAGCAGGAUGGGGGAGGCAAGGCCAUGUUCCUCAAGGGCAUGGAAGAGGCCAACAAGUUCCUGCCUAGGGACAUCGACCUGCUGCGCGGCGGCUCUGCCACCGUCAUCCAAGUGAAUGAAGAGGAAAGUGCCAAUGGCAGGGGCCGCGAGAACCGGCACAACCGGGAUGGUGUCCUAGAGGCCAAUUUGGGCAGGGAGAGCAAAAUGAUGGCGCCGGAGCCGGAGGAAUCUGGUGUGGUAGUUGACGAAAUGGUUGCCAAUGGGUUCCAAUUGUUCUUCAGAGAGAUGGAGGGCCUCCGCAUCAGUAUGGGCAGCGAGGCUGAGAAGAAGAGCAGGAAAGGGAGUGUGCGGAGUGCCAAAGGAGUGGUGGACUUGUGCACCUUGCUCAUGCAUUGUGCACAGGCUGUGGCAGUGGAUGACCGCCGGAGCGCAGCCGAACUGCUUUGGAAGAUUAAGCAGCACUCUUCUCCACGGGGAGAUGCGACACAAAGGCUGGCACAUUAUUUCGCAGAGGGGUUGGAGGCGCGUCUGGCUGGUUCAGGUAGCAAACUGUACAAUUCGCUCAUGGCAAAGCGCACCUCGGCUGUGGACUUCCUCAAAGCCUACCGGCUGUACGCGGCAGCCUGCUGCUUCCGAGUGGUGGCGUUCAAGUUUUCCAACAUGACCAUCUGCAAGUCUAUUGCAGGGAGGAAAAGGGUACACAUUGUGGAUUACGGCAUACAGUAUGGAUCCCAGUGGCCAGGUUUGCUGAAAUGUUUAUCUAUAUGCCCGGGAGGGCCACCGGAAGUGAGGAUCACUGGCAUUGAUCUUCCCCAGCCUGGGUUCCGUCCAGCUUCUCAGGUCAAGGAGACAGGGCGGCGGCUUAGCAAUUAUGCCUCUCAGGUCGGCAUGCCGUUCAAGUACCGUGGCAUUGCGGCUAAGUGGGAGACGGUAGGCGUUGAUGAUUUAGACAUCGACCCUGAUGAGGUACUCAUUGUCAAUAGCAUCCUCCAUUUUGGAAACUUGAUGGACGAAGGUAUCGACACUAGUAGCCCAAGCCCGAGGGAUGUUGUUCUCAGCAACAUCAGGAAGAUGCGACCUGAUGCGUUCAUCCUUUUCGUCACGAAUGGCACAUAUAGCUCACCGUAUUUUGUACAAAGGUUCCGGGAAGCGCUAUUCCACUACUCUGCAAUGUUUGACAUGAUGGAUGCCACGACCCCACGGGACAAUGAUCUACGCGUUCUGGUUGAGCGUGAUCUUUUUGGCCAGUGUGCCCAAAAUGUCAUUGCUUGUGAAGGCUUGGACAGGGUGGAGCGCCCUGAGACAUAUAAGAAGUGGCAAUUGCGGAACCACCGGGCAGGGCUGAGACAGCUGCCGUUGGAUCCAGAUAUUGUCAAGGCUGUGCAGGAGAGUGUCAGGGACAAGUUUCAUGAGGACUUUGUCAUUGAUGUGGAUCGUCAGUGGCUCCUGGGAGGGUGGAAGGGACGCAUACUCUAUGCAAUGUCAACAUGGGCUGCUGCUGAUUCCAUGUCGGAUUCUUAGCUGCUUUAAUUUACUGUAUGUGUUUAGAGAUAUAGAUAAUGGCAGCUAUUUAUGAUUCCUGAGUGUUGGUGAUGCUGAGCUUCUUUAUUUCUUUUGUUCUUUUGUAGACAUUUACAGAGGGUGAACUUAUGUUAAUGUGCAACAAACUGAACAACAUCCCUCCUUUUGUUUUAUUGCUGAAUGUUAUGCUGUGACUGAAAAGCAAAUUUGGCUCUCAUGUCAUGUUUUGUGAAGUUCAUUUAGGUUGUGAUAUAAGUUUUUUGGUGCUUCCCUUUCAUUUGGAAAAGGGUAAACGGUUGAUUAAGCAUUAAAGCUAUACAUAUUAUUCUGAGUAACUUCCAAGGCGGUUUCUACUAAAUAUUUUUCCUUUAAUCCUUUCAUUCAGGCAGUUACAGCAAAAGGAGGUGGUUAGAUUCAAGAUUACACUACCACAAAACAGGUCAUGUCAACACUGUAAAAAAUCAUCAUUCAGAUGAUUUUUGAAGCGCCUGGUCUACUUUUCUUCACCAGAUACAGAGAUGUUGGUAAUGGCAACUGUACAUUUGUUUCUGACUUUCUUUAAAUGAACUCAUGAGCCCACUAGGUCUGUCCAGUUAAUCAUUUGUCUACUGGAACUCUGUGCUAUGUGAUUGAUAUUUCCCUGGUUAGGUGCAGAACCUGAACCUAAAGACUGAUGUAAAGACAUGUCCUGGUAUUUGGCUCUCUGGAACUCUAAAUAAUGGAAUUCUUGACCUGCACAGCAGCUAUGGUCCUGACUAGAGAUGAAAUUUAUAACGACAUACAUGUCUUACUUAGAACAACACAGGGUCUUAGAUAUAGUUCCCUUUGUACUGGUGCAGAACUUGUGAAAAUGUACAACAAAACCAAAGAACCUUGUUUAUUUAUUUAUUUAUUGCUAGUAUUUGGCUUUAUUAUUAUGUAGCCUUGCAAAUUGAUAGGGUACUUAUUUGAAUUGAUAGGCCUCUGUUUUAUGUGAUUCGACACACUUUAUUUGAAGAUGCUUGGAUAUAAGCAGUACAUGCAUUGUAGUGUCUUCUAAUAAUGUAAUAGUCGAUGUUUAUUUGAGUGUUCUUGUUGCUUCUUAUAGCUGCAUAGGGUCUUAGAUUAGUUCUCAGUGUGUUGAUUCUGCCUGUGUAAAUGUACAACAAACUGAAAAACCACUUGUGGUACCUGUAUUGGGAAGUCCACUUUCUCUUGUAACAUUGUAUAUUCCCUUGCACCUGGAAAGAGUAAAUGGGCACGAGAUUAAGCAUUAAAAUUGCACAUAUUAUUCUGUUAUUCAGAGUAUUGAUUUCUGCUUCUUUGUUUUUUGGUGAUUGUUUCAAAUGCAAACUUAUUGCUAUUGGUACCACACUUUACCCAUUUUCUACCUAGUUUCAAAUUCCUGGGGAUGUUUUCUGCUGAAUACUUUUCUUAAUUCUUUCAUUCAGAGUACAGUUGAAAGAGGUUUUUCUGUCUUUCCCCUUUUUGGACUCAAACUAUGGUAGGCUUAUGCCACCUAUCUGACUAAAUCUUUUACCCAAAGCAUAGGGAACAAAUGAUACAGUAGCAUGCCGAGGUACAAGUGGCUGCACAUCUGCAAAUUCGACGUCAAUUAAUUUUAGGACAAUUCUCUACCUAUUGGGAUUCACAAUUUCACAGUAGUAUGAACCUUGAGCUUUAUAUAGGCAUAAGAGAUUCGGAGUAGCAGUUUGUGCAAUGAUGCUUCCGCAUGUUCAUCAGUUGAUAUCGAAUCACUGCCUUACUAGUGCGUUGAUUGCUGAACAGUAAGACUUGAGCUUUUGAUCAAACUAGAGUAACAUUGAACAAACUUCAGAUCAGAGAUGUUUGUUGCUUGCCUCAAUCAUUUCGCAGUCUAUGUUUUUCUUAAGACAGUUUCUUUCUCUAUGGAGUGUUCUAGCUUAGAUACUGAAAAACUUCUUUAUUGGAAGGGUGUAGGCUCACAGUAUGUAUUUCUCUAUUUUUAUUUGUUUACUCUUCAGGUUUGGUACAAUAAUACCUGACCAAAUGUGCACAAUCUGUUUGUUAGAAGCUGACAUAUGUAGAUUUGAAGAAGGUGCAAUUUGGUCAGUUUUUGCUCUGUCCGUCCAUUUAUUUAUAUAUAUGUUAUAUGACCUAUGCAUAGCAUGGACAAAUUCAGGAUUAUUUUGUACCCAGCUGACAGGCCAUAAUUUAGUUUCAUGAAUCAGGGCAGUGUAUUGUACGUACCUAUGCUCCAUUCUAGUAAGAAAAGGAAACGCUUUAGUAGGAAGAGAAGAGUCGGUUACUCUGUUUCCAAGUACCAGGUGUUUGAUACUGCAGAGACUCAUGUCAAAUGUCAAACACCUAGCUAGGAUUCCAGUAAGAGUUUUGAGCUUUUGAUCAAACUACAGUAACAUUGAAGAUUUAACUAAGUUCAGAUUAGAGAUGUCUGCUGCUUGUCUUGGUCAUUAUCACUUUGUUUUUCCGAAGACAGUUUCUUUGUAUGGAGUGUUCUAGUAUAGAGGCUCACUCUAUGCAGCUCUGUCAUGUUUAUUAAUUUACUUUUCAGGUUUGGUACAGUAAUAAUUUUAUUCAAGUGUCCAUGUUUGGAGCAGGAUAUGAACAUCUGACGAAAUGUGGGCAGUAUGACUUUUAGAGGCUGACAUAUGCAGAUUUGAAGCAGGUGCAACUUGGUCUGUCUUUUGAUUUGUCCAUCCAUUUAUAUACUAUUUAGCAUGAGCAAAUUCAGAAUUUUGUUAUGCCAGGUGACAGACCGCUAUAGUCAUAUUCAUAUAUUAGGUGAGUGCAUUGUGUGUUUGCUGCGUUCUAAUAAGAAAAUAAGAACAACUUUUGUAGGAAGAGAAGUGUCCUUUAUCUUGUCAACCACCCUGCCGAUGGAGGAAGAAACUUGGCAAGACAAAAACACUGUUUGCAAGUUGACGUCUCCGGAGGGUCCAAGGACGGGAGAAGACAAAACAAGAGUCGCAGCAGGGUCCAUCACAGUUGCGUUUGGCCUCGUCGGUUCGUCCUCAUCUCAUCUCGGAGCCGCCAAGGCAAGUUCGCAUCAGAAUUUUCAGAACGAACUUCUCGGCGCUUUCCCUUCCCACUCCCAGGCAGCUUCUCUCCCCUCCUUUCUCCCUCUGAAAGGAAAAGAAAAAGAUUCCGUUUUUUAUCCAUCCACCAGUCUACCACAACAUUCAAAGCUUCCAUUUUUUUUUAUGCCGCCCAACCCAGAUUACCCAGCCUGGCAUCCAUGGCUGCCUCGCCGGAGGAUUUCGUGGCUGAACCCGCCGAGCCGCCCUUCUCCCCCUCCAUCUUCCUCGACCUGCCCCCGACGCCCUGCCCCGACGGCAAUGGCGAGGGCAAGGACCCGGCCUCCGACGACCUCGGCCUCCCCUUCAUCGAGCGGAUGCUCAUGGAAGAGGGGAUCCACGAAGAGUUCUUCUACCAGUACCCCGACCACCCCGCGCUCCUCCAAGCCCAGGAAUCGUACGCACGGGUCCUCUCCGACGCCACCGCGGAUUCCACUUCGUACGGCAGCCCCACCGUGUCGGUGUCCUCCUCCGGCUCCGACGACCUCACCACGGACGCCAGUACCGGUUCCGAGCAGAGCCCGGCGCAAGCGCAACUGAGGGAUGGUGGCGCCCGGAGUGACGCCGCCGCCGCGGAGGAGGAGAUGGAGGAAAAGGCCAACAGCACCAUGCUUGCAGCCGUCGAUGAUGACCACGCCGCACUGGCCUCGGCGUUCUUCAGCGCCCAGCAGGAUGCGGGGAGCAACGCCAUGCUCAACUUGGCAUUCCUCAAGGGCAUGGAAGAGGCCAACAAGUUCCUGCCUAGAGACAUCGACCUGCUGCGCGGCUCUGCCACCGUCCUUCAAGUGAAGGAAGAGGCAGAGGAGGAGGGAACUGCCAAUUUGGGCAGGGGCCGCAAGAACCUGCACAACUGGGAUGAUGUCCUGGAGGCCAAUUUGGGCAGGGAGAGGAAGAUGAUGGCGCCGGAGCCAGAGGAAUCUGGUGAGGUGGUUGAUGAAAUGAUUGCCAAUGGGUUCCAAUUGUUCCUCAGAGAGGUGGAGAGCCUCCGCAUCAGUAUGGGCAGCGAGGCUGAGAAGAAGAAGAGCAGGAAAGGGAAUGCACGGAGCGCCAAUGGAGUGGCGGACUUGUGCGCCUUGCUCAUGCAUUGUGCACAGGCUGUGGCAAUGGACGACCGCUGCAGUGCGGCUGAACUACUUAGGAAGAUCAAGAAGCACUCUUCUCCACGGGGAGACGCCGCACAAAGGCUGGCACGUUAUUUCGCUGAGGGAUUGGAGGCACGGCUGGCUGGUUCAGGGAGCCCGGUGUACAAUUCGCUCAUGGCAAAGCGCACCUCUGUUGUGGACUUCCUCAAAGCCUACCGGCUAUACGCAGCGGCCUGCUGCUUCAGAAUGAUGGCGUUCAAGUUCGCGAACCUGACCAUUUCCAAGGCUAUUGCAGGGAGGAAGAAGGUACACAUUGUUGAUUACGGCAUACAUUACGGGUCCCAGUGGCCUGGUUUGCUGAAAAUUUUAACUCUAUGGCCGGGAGGGCCACCAGAAGUGAGGAUUACUGGCAUUGAUCUUCCCCAGCCUGGGUUCCGCCCAGCUGCUCGGGUCAAGGAGACAGGGCGACGGCUUAGCAGUUAUGCCUCUCAGUUUGGUGUACCGUUCAAGUACCGUGGCAUUGCGGCUAAGUGGGAGACGGUUGGCGUUGAUGAUUUGGACAUCGACCCUGAUGAGGUACUCAUUGUCAAUAGCAUCCUCCAUUUUGGAAACUUGAUGGACGAAGGUGUCGACAUGAGUAGCCCAAGCCCGAGGGAUGUUGUUCUCAGCAACAUCCGGAAGAUGCGACCAGAUGUGUUCAUCCUUUUCAUCAUGAAUGGCACAUAUAGCUCACCGUAUUUUGUACCACGGUUCCGGGAGGCGCUAUUCCACUACUCUGCAAUGUUUGACAUGAUGGAUGCCACAACUCCACGGGAUAGUGAUCUGCGCGUUCUGGUUGAGCGUGAUCUCUUCGGCCAGUGUGCCCAAAAUGUCAUCGCUUGUGAAGGCUUGGACAGGGUGGAGCGCCCUGAGACAUAUAAGAAGUGGCAGUUGCGGAACCACCGGGCAGGGCUGAGACAGCUGUCAUUGGAUCCAGAUAUUGUCAAGGCCGUGCAGGAGAGUGUCAGGGACAAAUUUCAUGAGGACUUUGUCACUGAUGUGGAUCUUCAGUGGCUCCUGGGAGGGUGGAAGGGACGCAUACUCUAUGCAAUGUCGACAUGGGCUGCAGCUGAUGCUAUCUAGGAUUCUUAGCUGCUUUAAUUUACUGGAUUCAGAGAUAUAGUCUAGGUAAUGGCACCCAUAUUUGUUAGUGUGUCAAUGAACUGGUUCUGCUCUGCAGCUGUAUGUUUCAAGGCACUUAGUUCCAAAAUGACUGGGACUAGAGUUGAAAUUUCCGAGGUAGAGACAAGUUCAGACAUAGUGUAUUGUAAUGGAAAUUUUGAUGUUUAUUCAGAUUAGAUGGUCCUGUUGCUGCUUGAGCUACAUUGUAUGUUAAAUAUGAUUCCUGAGUAGUUGAUUACGCUUUUUUUUUUCUGAAACAUGUACAGAUAGUGAACUUAUGUUAACCUGCAACAAAUUGAAGAACAACCCUCCUUUUGUUUUAUUGCUGUAUGUUAUUCUGUGUCUGAAAAGCAAAUUUGACUCUCAUCUCAUGUGAUGAGACAUAUGAUUUAUGAUGUUCAUUUUGGUUGUGACAUGGUUUUUUGGUGCUUUUUUGGGAAAGGGUAAACGGAAGGCUGUUAAGCAUUGAAGUUAUAUAUGUUAUUCUGAGUAACUUACCAGGUCAUUUGUACUGAAUAUUUUUCCUUAAUCCUUUCAUUCAUUCAGGUACAGCUGAAGGAGGUGGUUAGAUUCAAGAUUACACUACCACAAAACAAGUAACUGCACAGUGUAAAAGAUGAUCAUAUCAGACGUUUUUUGAAGCUUCUGUUCUCGAGGGUAGCAGAGAUGUUGGUAAUGGCAACUGUACAGAUGUUUCUGACUUCCUCUGGAUGAAUUCAUGAAUCUAAUAAGUGUCUCCAGUUAAUUGUUUGCAUUGUCUACUGGAAACCUGUGCUAUGUGACCAAUAUUUUCCCGGUUGGGUGUAGAGCCUGAACCUAAAAACUGAUGUAAAGACUUGUCCGAUUUGGCUCUCCAGAACUCUAAAAAAGAUUAAUUCUUGAACUGCACAGCUGCUGGGGUUCAUUCUUGCAAGAUGGCUUAGACUAGAGAUGAAUUUAUAGUGAUAUACAUAUACAUGUAUUUCUUAGAACAACACAAGGUCUUAGAUAAUAGAUAUAGUUCCCUGUGUGCUGGUGCAGAACUUAUCAAAAUGUAAAACAAAACUGAAGAACCCUGUUUAUUUAUUUAUUUAUUUAUUCAUUGCUAGUAUAUGGCUUCAUUGUUCUGUAUUCUUGCAAAUUUAUAAGCUACUUAUUUGAAUAUAGUAUGGUGAGAUUUCUGUCGUGUUAAGUUCUUGUGACAUCAGAAUUUUGGAGCUCCCCUCGCAUCUGAAAAGAAUAUUAAAUCAAGUAUGAUGAAGUAUUAAAGUUGCGCGUGGUGGACCUGUGCACCUUGGCCUUGUUUAUUGGUGAAAAAUUUUAGGUUUGGCUACUAUAGCACUUUUAUUUUUAUUUACUAAUUAUUGUCCAAACAUAGACUAAGAUUAAAAGAUUCGUCUGGUAAACUACAUAAUUGAUUAUUUUUAUCUAUAUUUAAUACUUCAUGUAUGUGACACAAGAUUCGAUAUGAUGGAGAAUUUUGAAAAAAAUUUAGGUUUUGGGUGGAACUAAACAAGGCCAACACCCACCUUGGAUGGAUUCACUGCUGCAAACAUGCAUGCAUACCAGCUGUUCGUUAUUAAUCUACAUUGUACUACGUUGAUUACAGCGUCUGACUGGAUUAUAAUAUAUACAGACAUUUUAUAUGCUGUGCAUAUCUGUUCACUUUUCAGGUCUAGGGUACCAGUAAGAAGCAAAACAUGGAAAUUUUGAUUACGACAAAGCUCCAUCACGCAUCUAGACAACAAUGGCUUGGCGAGGCUACCUAAAUUAUAAAUUCAGAAACCUGCCUCAUUCAAAAGCUCUCCACGAAUCACAAAUAUCAUCCGAACAUUGAAAACCAUCUGUUUCUGCAAAAUGCACAGUAACCACCACUUUCACUAAUAAUUACGAGCAAAAUAUACAACUCCCUAAUAGAGUAACAAAAAAGGGGAAAUUAAGUACAAGGGAAACCAUCUGAUAAUUCAAUAAAGUAUCUAGAGAAUGAUAAUGCAGACAUAGAGAUGGCACACAUUGUCCAUAGGCAGGGUGACACCACCUUAAUUUCACUGCAAAUCCAUAAGAAUGUAACUGAUUCAUGUAAUACUCUGGUUUGUAUAUGCGGCCCAACCAAAGAUGAAUAUUAAGGGCCAAUAUCCUGAUAGCAUACUAGCCGCGAUAACAUAUGCUGAAUAUGACCAUGCCCAAAUUAGCCCCUUCCUCGUGCGCAACGGUGGUAGUAGAAGAAGACGUCUCCAAAUAAAUUCCAUAUUCAUAUAUAGCAGCACGAGAGAACUGAGGACACAUGUGGCAAUUGCGCUCUUCUGGGCCACCGGAGCUAGCACCACAUAUGCACCAAGUGCAAAGGCAGCUGUCAAGCUUGUAAUCGAAUUCGAUACGAGGUAUAUGGCUAUGAAUAUGUGCAUUUUGCGUCUCUGGAGGCUCAACAAAGAAGACCCAGAAUGCAUGACACCCAAGGUAGCCAUCGUGGAUAAAACAAAGGCCAACGUGUUGGACGCGAUGAAUGCAUCAAAAGCAUACCUUCGAGCAUGUAUUGGUGUGCCUCCAUUAUUGCGAUCAUCAGCUACGUAACCUCCAGGCACAGCAAAAGUUACGCCAAAUGUCACGGUUGCUAUUAGAACCGACCCAAUACACAGAGAUCCCGUCGAGUCUUUCACUGCCUCCAUUUCUUUACUUUCAUCAUGUUUUACUCUCACAGUUUUGUUAUCUUUUAAGUGACCAUGGCGACGGACACCGUUCACAGCACUGGCAAUUCUGAGUGUGUGACAUAUUUGUACUUCACUAUUCUGCAAAAGCAAACCAAAUAGAAGCUGAGUAGAAGCAAAAUAUCAGUUUUGUUUGAAAAUAAAAUGAGCGUAUGGAUUACCAAAGCAUGGUAGAAUCCAUCUUCAGGAAUCUUAUAUUGUGCUAUAUCUAAUGGAGUCUCCCCUCUACUGUUUGGUAAAUUUAAGUUUACUUGUGGAUUCGCCAAUAGAGGACAAAACAUUUGAAGGCUCCCUGCCUCAACAGCAAGGUGAAGUGCAGUGUUCCCAUCAUUGUCUACCAUAUUCAUAAUCCAUGAUAGUGAUAGAUUUCUGCAGACACUCCUGAUUACAUUCGCCUCCUUUUUCUCAACAGCAACAUGCAGAAAUGUCUUUCCUUUAGCAUCGCAAAGACCAGCGCUACCAGGACAUCUUUUAACAAACAUGUCAACGUUCCAGGAAGCACCUGCAGAGGCAGCAACGUGUAUGGGAAAAACUCCGGCAUGGUCUGGUUGAUACAGGGCAUCGGGAUUAGCUUCCAAUACUUGCCGGCAUAUGUUUGAUGGCCUAAAUAGAAACUUCACAGCUGCAGCAAAGUGAAGUGGAGUACUCCCAGUUUCAUCCCUUUGUGUGGUAAGGUCCUUAUUUUGCGGGCAGAGGUGUGUUUCAUUCCAUUUUAACAAUUUUGCAAGGUCUGCAAACACCAUUCUUUUAUUAGCAGACUAAUCAAGGGGAGAAAAAAACUACUAUGUGGAUAAAGGAAUUAUUAGUCGGAAUACACUACCAGAUCAAGGAAAAUUACAGUUUUCCUCAAACUAUUAUUUACAAGAAACUGUCAAUGAUUGUACCUAGCUAAAUUUCAAUUGCAUUUCCAUGUGACCACAGACUUUAAAAAUUAAUGAACUAGUCACAUUUUUUAACUCAUGUCAUCUUAAACUUUCAAAAAAUGUCUAGUGGUGUCCUGUUAUGUGUGCACUGCACCCCAACAAAAGAUGCAGACCCUUGUUAGAAAGUAGUAUUCCAUUCCAAAUUGUAAGUCAUUUUAGCUUUUCUAGAUACAUAGGUUUACUAUGUAUGUAGACAUAACAUAUAUCUAGGUGCAUAGAAAAAGAUAUGUACCUAGAAAAGCAAAAUGACUAAAAAUUUGAAAUGGAUUGGAGGAAUUAACCACUUAAGUGGGUCUGGCUUGCUUAAUCAAGAUCAAGCCCUUGUAUUCAAACCUAACUAAGUUCCAUAGCUUGAUAUCUGCAGAACCAAUGAAAAUCCACCAUACAACCAACUCAAGAAAAGGCAACCAGGCCCCCUUAUGAUCCACCCUUGUGCUAGGAUUUUUCUAGGAAUAAUUACUUCACAAUGUCAAAAUUUAUAUGAACAUAUCAAGUAGCACAACUUUUUGUACAAAUAUACAUAGAUAUAUAUAGAGGGAAAUAUUAUAUAUGGCAAUUGUUUCAAAAUAAAGGAGAAGUCAGUCAACCAAGUUAUUUGACCGAAGUUAGCAGGGAAACCCCAGCCUAUUUUUUUUUAAAAAAAAAAAUUAGAGUAGACCGGUGUUCUAACCACUAGGCUACGCGUCAGCGAACCAAGUUUGUAAGUUGGAAAAAGGAAAGAUGCAUCUGUAGUGUACCUUGGGCUUGGUGUCGGAGAACAGCAGCAUGCAAUGCAUUCUGUCCAUUUGGUCCGGAGAAGGAAAGCUUCCCAUGACUACUCUUAUCAUAGAGUGUUUUCACAAUUUCAUCCCAUUUUAGCAAGAUGGCUAGGUACAUAGGUGAUGUGCCACCGUCUUCUGGAAAGUUGGCCAAUUCUGAGUCCUUCCACAUGAGCAGGUCGACUAUGUCCUUAUUCCCAACACGGACCGCCUCAUGCAAGGCUGUUUCCUUGUGCUUGUUUUCUUUCCGCAGCAAUUCCUUGAUCCUAUUCUCGCCUUCAGAGGAAGCAAGAUCAAUGAGGCAAGCAACCAUGUUGGAUUUUCCCGCCCGUGCAGCACAGUGCAAAGGGGUGUCACCCUUGUUGUUUUGCACAAAGAGGAGGUGCUUCGCUUUCCCAUAGAUGAUGCGAGUGCUCUCCAAGAAAUUAUCACCAUCGCCAUAGGUGGUCAUCGCAUGGCGCUCUGCGCGGGUUGGAUGCCGCUUCUUGUUGUUUUGUUCCACAAGGAUAUGUUUCGCCUCUCUGAACCUGGUAAACAAGUUGUUGCCCUGACUACAGGCGGCCACCACAUGGAGUGCAGUGUCACCUUGAGCAGUCAUCCAUGCCAGGAUCGACUCAUUUGCUUCUGUGUCACCACCAUAAGAGCUAGCUCGCAGAGUAGUCAAGCUUCCGUCUGUGCCAUGGCCAGUGGCUUGACUGUUUUCCCCAUUGAGAAGGGUUUGCAGCUCCUCAGAAGAGCCAGAGGAUGCCAGUGCUAGAAGAUGGGGAUCCAUAUUCCGCUGCUGAGGGCAAGGCUUCUCCACAGAAGCAGUCUGUUUGGCCAUCACCACCACCAUCAUGUUUGAAUCUUGUUCCUGCCUGUGCACUAGAUGCUUCAACUGCUGGACAUCCCCAGUGCCUGUGGCCAUCAUCAGCUUGGCGUCCAUGGCCUCUACCAGAGCAUUUGUUUCAGAGGGUGAGUCCUCCGCACCAUUGCUCGAAGACAUCUCUGAAGCAGGAUUUUCUUUAUGUAAAAAUAGCCAAAGAAGGAAAAAGGCAGAGUUCAGCUAGCCAUAACUGGGAUCCUAUCGGAUUCUUAAAAAAAAAAAACAACAACAACAACAUUAGGAACCAGUUAAUUAUGCAAUUCUUUCUACUUUCUAGCAAAAUGCUUGCUUGCAGUGACUUUCCCUCUAUCUGUGGCAGAGGGCAGCUAUACCAUAUAUGUGAUAGUAGUAUUAUGACAAGACGACUGACCUGCAAAGUAAAGCACAAGGGAUCAUGGAGCGUCAGCGAGCUGGCCUUAUCUGAGGUCGCACGGCAAACUGAACACAGCUGCUCAAGUGCAGAGGGAAAUUAAGGGGCUGCCAUGCCGGAAUUCAGAGACUUGGCAGUUGCUCUGGUAGUUUGGCUCGAGCGAAAACAAGUAUGCAUACCGAGUUGUCGUCAGGUCACUGAGUGGAACAAAAUCAAUCAAAUCAAAUUAUAAAUAAAUAAAUAAAUAAAGUAAAAUAAAUUAUCAGUGGCCGACCCAGGCUCAGAAAUAGACCUGAUCAUCAGCCUGGUCGGGUCGGGUCGGGCCGUGGCGUGCCAGACAAAACCCGACGGGUUCCUAUUUGCUUCGCCGUGCCCGCCCGCGUGUCGAUCAACCCGGCUCCAGCGCUGCUAGCUGUCGUCUCGUCGUCUCCCUUCCUCCGCCGCCGCCGCCGCCGCUUGUAGAUAGACGCUCGGGCGGCAUUGAUAAAGGUGGGCACCGCCGCACAGAUGGCCUCGGGGCCCAGGCAGGCACCCGGCAGCUAGCAACUGGCUCGCACGCCCUCCCUCCCUCGAAUCGGGAUCUGGCAGGUGGCUACGGCCGCUUUGCCUCGGCUGCUGGACAGGAGAGUCUGGAGGAGCGGGAUGGCUGGGCCCUGCCGCCCGACGCACGCAAGCGGAGUAGGUGCCGCCGACGAGCGCUGACGGCGCUAUCGACAAAUGGGAAGGUUGGGUGGGCCGGCCCGCAGGUGGCUUGGGCCUCAUCAGGAGUAAAUAAAUAUUCCUUCUCCUUUGGUCUUGCUGGAUUCCUCGCCGUGGUCUGGGCCGGGCUGGGCUGCACCGCGAUCCGGAGGUGCCGCCGACGAGUAACAUGCCCGCCCGCCCGGAGAGUUAUUUGAUUUCGUUGUGCUCCACCAAAAAAGAAAAAAGUUAUUUGAUUUUGCUUCAAGGAAGCAGCUCUUGGUUGGGAGUCGGGACAGAACUUGUCAUAUAUGAUUCCAAUAAUUUUUGGGGGCCUUUUGGAUAGUUAUUUAGAAAUAUAAAAUGGGGAUUGAAGAAAAGAUUUGCAAUGAGAUUUUUCGCUUUAUUUCUACAGAAAUGGAAAUGGCGCAUUAUUCUGCUCAAGGAACAAGAUGUCAGCUAGUUUGGGCGCUUUUUCUGUGUGUGUGUUUUUUGUUGCCUUUUCUGUGUCAUGGUGUAGCGCGGCUGUUCUAAUGCGUUUGAACGCUCGUGGGUUGGAUCCUGGUUCAGCUCUACUACUGCUCUUGUGUUCUUAGCGGUUUUAUUACUCCAAUAAUGUCAACAAAUAAUAAAAAAAAAAGGGUGACAAAAAUAUGCUUCCACCACCCCCUUUAAUUUCGCAUUCAAGCUGGUACAGCUGAGAGAGAUCAUCAGAUUCAGGGAUCAAGAGUUGCUUUCUGCAACUUUGGGAAUAGUAGGUGCUUGUCAUCCGCUGGACGACAAAUGGUAUGAAUCAUCAUAUACAAUACGAAUGGGCAUGCAGGAAGGAGAUCAAAUACCUCCUACCCUGUGUUUCUUUGUGCCGUGCGUGCUAAACGUGCCAUGUCUCACUCAUGUGCACACCCAUGUGAUGCAAGUGAUGUUGUUAAUUAUUAAUAUAACUGCUUUGCUUCUCUGGCUAGCUAUGUAGCCUGCCUUGGAUGAGUCAUCCUGUCUUAGGCCUUGUUUAGUUCUUUUUUUUUUAAAAUCGGCACUGUAGCAUUUUCGUUUGUAUUUAACAAAUAUUUUUCAAUCAUAAACUAACUAGGCUUAAAAAAUUUAUCUUGUCAAUUCUGACUAAACUAUAUAAUUAGUUUUUAUUUUUAUCUAUAUUUAAUACUUCAUACAUGUAUCUAGAGAUUUGAUGUGACGAAAAAUCUGAAAAAUUUAGCACAAUUUUUUGGAAACUAAACGAGGUCUUAAUAUUGUGUGUCUCUAUCUAGCCAUCUCAUCUCAUCUACAGAGCACAAAGUCAAGUCAAGAAAAAGCAAUCGUACAUCAUACUGCCGGUGGCCGGUGGCCGCCCGCCCAGGUCAAACAAAGCUUCGGCCGAGCAUGGCCAUGGCCGCCGCGCCGGAGGACGGCGAACCGGAGCCCUUCUCCCCGUCUGUGUUCCUCGACCUGCCACCGACUCCCCGCGUCGAAGGGGAUGACGACGACCCGCCGUUGUUGACGGACGACCUGGUGCUCCCCUACAUCUCGCGCAUGCUCAUGGAGGAGGACAUGGACGACGACAGGUUCUUCUACCACUACCCCGACCACCCGGCGCUGCUCCAGGCCCAACAGCCCUUUGCCGACAUCCUCUCCGGCUCCGGCUCCGGCUCCGCCAACGGGAGCGGUACGACCUUCACGCCAUCAUCGCCAUCUUCGUCCUCCUCCUAUGUCAACGUCGUCGUCCCCGCGUUCGCCACCGCCACCUGGCCCUACGAUCCGCUCGAGCUCACCCAGCGGCUCACGGCCGGUGCUGCUCAAGAAGCAGGAUCCCAAUUCUUUCAGAGCACGGACAAAGGCAGUCAGAGUCGUCAUGUCCAGAACAGAGUGAGCAUGGAGGACAUGAUCAAUCAGGCCUUCCUCAAGGGCAUGGAAGAGGCCAACAAGUUGUUGCCUGGCACCAGCAGCAGUAGCAGCAACAAGGAUGGAGCGUUACUGUUCGGAGAAACUAAUCAUGGUCAUGGUAAUAGCAGAGGCCGCCGCAAGAACAGGCGGCAUGAUGACUUCUUGGAGGAGGGGGGCGAGACGGGCAGGAAGAGCAAGCUGAUGGCGCCGGAGCCGGAGGAGACCGGCGAGAUGGUCGACAAGAUGGUCAUCGACGGGUACAACCUGUGUGUAAACAAAAUGAAGACCCUGAGCAUCACUACGCCCACCACCAAGGAGGUUAAUAAUAAGAACAGCAGCAACCUCAGUACGCUGCUCAUCCACUGCGCGGAGGCGGUGUCCAUGGACGACCAUGCCACGGCAGCCCAGCUGCUCGCGCAGAUCAAGAAGCUGUCGUCGCCGAGAGGGGACGCGAACCAGAGGCUGGCGUCCUGCUUCGCCGAGGGGCUGGAGGCACGGCUAGCCGGGACGGGGAGCACGCUGUACAGUUCGCUGGUGGCGAAGCGCAGCACCUCCGUGACGGAGUUCCUCAAGGCGUACCAGCUCUACCUGGCCGUCUCCUGCUUCAAGAUGACAGCCUACAGGUUCUCCAACAUGACCAUCAGCAAGGCCAUCGCCGGCAAGAAGAAGCUGCACAUCGUCGACUACGGCGUGCUCUACGGCUGCCAGUGGCCGAAUCUGCUGCACUACCUGGCGAACCGGAGAGGCGGGCCGCCGGAGGUGAGGAUGACCUGCAUCGACCUCCCCGAGCCCGGGUUUCGCCCAACCGCGCGAGUCGACGAGACGGGGCGUCGACUGAGCAAAUUCGCCCGCCAGUGUGGUCUGCCGUUCAAGUUCCACGGCAUCGCAGCCAAGUGGGAGACGGUACGUGCCGAUGACCUCGACAUUGACGCCGACGAGGUGCUCGUCGUCAACAGCAUCAACAAGUUUGAGAACCUGAUGGAUGAGGCUGGCAUUGACGACGACAUACACCGCCCGAGCCCUAGGGACGUGGUGCUUCGUAACAUCCGGAAGAUGAUGAGGCCGCCGGCGGCGGCGGCGGACGUGUUCAUCCACUCCGUCGUCAAUUGCUCGUACGCCACGCCAUUCUUCGUAGCACGGUUCCGAGAGGCGCUGUUCCACUACUCGGCCAUGUUUGACAUGCUGGAUGCGACGGUGUCGCGGGACAGUGACCUGCGCGUGGCGGUGGAGCGUGACCUCGUCGGCUGGUGCGCCCUGAAUGUCGUCGCCUGUGAAGGAGCCGACAGGGUGGAGCGGCCGGAGACGUAUCGGCAGUGGCAGGCGCGGAACCGCAAGGCAGGGCUCAGGCAGCUGCCGUUUUUCCCGAAUGCUGAGAAGAUCCUGAGGGAGAAGAUGAGGAACGAGUACCACAAGGACUUCGUCAUUGACGUUGAAAACAAUUGGCUUCUACAAGGCUGGAAGGGUCGCAUACUUUAUGCCAUGUCCACGUGGGCUGCUGCAGAUGACAACACUAUCUCAUCAGAAUUGUAGCACAAAUUGUGUGACACUACAGAUCCUUUUUUUUUAAAAAAAAAAAGACUAACCUGUUGCUCUGUUUCAGAUUAACCUGCUGCUCUGUUUUUAUGUGCAACCACGUUUUUAAUUUUUCUUGUUUUUUUUUUCCUUUUGUCAUGAUCAGAAGCUAUAUGUUAACUAAGGGGUGCAAAUACACCUCCAAAAAUUAUAAAAACAAUAAUUAAGUCUAAAUUUUCAUUAUAUAUGCACUCCUCACGAAAGAUGUAUAUACACCCACAAGUUAAGUGUAUCUUUCGCUACUUUGCUCUAACUUCGCCACUGGUCAUGAUGAAGACUCUUGUGGUGUUGUUAAUUCACUGUAUAUGUCACGACAGACUGAGGAAGCAGUGACGAAGCUAGAGCAAUUUAGAGGGUAGUGCAUUUCUCUUAUAUAUAUAAAAAUAUAAGCAACAACCAUGGUGAAAAUUUGAUUUUAAUAGUGAUUUUUUAAAUUCUUGUGGGUGCAUUUGCACCCACAAACUAUAACAUAGCUUCGCCAUUGCGAGGAAGGUAUGGUGCUUCUUCUCUGGUCAUGUUAUGUACGUUGCUUUCCAUGCAUAUUCAGUGUUUCUUGAACAUUAACACGUUCUUCCAUCCCAAAAUAAAUCUUGUUUAUCGAGGAUCACCCUCUGGAAGCUUUGUGCAAAUUUUGGUUUUAGUUGAACCUCAUUUGAAUCGGUUCUUAAUUUUUUGGACAAUAUUUCUGCUCUGCUUAUCAAUACUAGAGGGUUCGGUCUGAUAGGAUUUCACCAUUUUUCUCCCAAAAUUGCUUGGGCUGAAAUCUCAUACCAGAGCCCAGAGGGUCUGUGAUUCGAUGAGAGAUUUGAAUUGAUUCACUCCUUUGUUGGCCUGCUCAGUGAUUCGAUGUGGCUGUUGGACAAAAAGGGAAUGGUUAGGCUGAGCAGAGAGAGAGAAGUCAGUGGAACCAAACAGUUGAUACGAGGCGAGGCCAACAUUUUGUUCAUGAGUGGACUCGCCACCUAAAAUAAAAAGACUUCCUUUUUCUUCUUUUUUCUGUAGUUAGUCAGUUAGUGCUCAGAAAGGAUAUUCAAUUUGCAUUUCUGUGCUCAUGACUUGUGACUGACGAGGCAAUUAAGGUGCAGAUGAACAUGUCGUUGGAUUGAAUUUUGCGCUGGACCCACCCAAGUG